ACAUUUCAUUAAUUAGACAUUGAGAUAGUCAUGUAUACAAUAUCAAUUCGUUAAAAUUAGUUACUUAAUUUUAAAAUCUCAAAAUGCAUACAUUUUCAUACCGGAUGUGGAAUAAGUGAUUCAAAUAUAUCAUGACAAUUUGACUUUUCAAACACCAAUACACUACCUACUCUAUAUCUACGGAGCCCCUAACAAAUAAAAAGAAUACUAUGAUAGUACCGGCAACAAGGCUCCGACUAUACCUCAAAGGCCAAGUUAAAACAUAAAAUUUUUAAUAAAUAUAAAAAUAAGACGGUGAAGGUGAUAAUCGGAAUAUGAAUAUAAUAUUAUUUUUGAUUGGGAGAUUUUUAGCACCAAUGUACCACUGUUCUUAAUACCACAGUUCACAAUACCAAUGUCCACAAUAUCACUAUUCACAAUACCACCAUGCUCUUUGUACGAAGUUCGAUCACGGGCUGAUCGGUUAGGCCAUCUCAUCCGAGACAUCAACCACAAUCACAAUUUUUGUGCAAAUAUACCAUCGUGAAUUUAGAACGGAGUUCGAUCACGACCCUAUCGACUAGGUCGUAUUAUUUGAAGACAUCAACCACAAUCACAAUCUCGAUCACAACUUCAAUUACAAUUUUAAUUAUAAUUUUCAGUACAAUCACCAGCGUGUGUGACAUUGGCGUUCGAUCAAGAUCCAAUUGGCUAGGUUGUUUCAUACAAGACAUCAAGCACAAUCACAAUAACAAUAUUUCCUUGGAUCUUUUGUCCAUGCACAAGAUUCUUUAUUGAUGGUACGAUGGCCGUAUUUUAUGUUCCACGCUUUCACCUAUUUUAUUUUCAAGGAUCAUCAAAUAUCAACAUAUAGAAUAUUUCGGGAAUUAUAAACUUCAAAUUCAUUUGUAAUGAAAACUUUAACACAAAAGAUUUCACCGCAAAGAAUGGGGCACACCGACCAUCAAUAGAUGCACACAUCAAAAUCAUAAACAAGCAAUACAGUAUUUAUUCCUGAAAUAAUCUUUCCCAAAAACGGUAAUGUACAAUUUCAACACCUGAGUAUGUAAGAACUCGAAUCACAUUGAGUAUAUCUAUAAAUCAAAGCAUUAGUUAAUACAACCACUUAUGUACAUGAAUUGAGUACAAAAGCUUUCGGGCAAAUCUAUUUUUUAAGUCAUUUUUAAAAAGUUGAGUCGAGGCCCAUUUUAUAAUCUUUCCCACAUCUUCUCUUUUUAUUGACGCAACUAGCCACAAUUAUAACUUAAAUCUUGGCACAUUGGUCAUACUUUAUAUUCCCAAUUCACUUAUUUCAUUUUAAACAUCCUUAUAGACUAUUAACAACAAGAAGUUUCCAAUCAAAACCUUUAGGUACACAUAUGAGCAAUUAAAAGUCUUAAACAUAUCGAUUUUUUCUCACAUAAUUUGGUAUCAUAACCUUUAGUUUAAACGCAACUCAAAACCAUAAUAUUUUAAUAUACAUAUUAUUCUUGAACACAUGCUUGAAGGAUAACAUAAUAUAAUAGGAAUAAUUAGAACACAUUGUCACAAUCAGAAAUCAAACAAGAGCCAGUAACCAAUUCAAUAAUCCAGGAAGAGUUUGAAACCAUGCAAAAACCAGGAAAUCAACCACAAACCACUUGAAUACACUCAAAUGAAAUCGAAAUUUGACCCAGGAAUAACAGAACACCUUCGGCAAUCAGAAACAACCAACAACAACUCGAAUAAACCCCAAACGACUCUAUGCUUUAAAUCUCGAAUAUGGAACAGAAACAGAGAAGUUCAAGCUGUUUUUUUAUCCUAAAUGAGCUAAAGAACUGAAUUACUGGCUGAAAAUUUGAAAAUGAUCUAAGGAAAAGCAAUGAAACUGUAUUUUUGGAGUUUUUACUAUAUUUUUGUUUGUUUUUUUGGAUUUUUCUGAUUUUUUUGGCAUAAUCUAAGAUCUAAAAGAGCAGUUUUCUACUUCUUUUGAUUUGAAAUUCAAAAUUUAGGCUCAAAUUUGCAAAGAUGGUUUUAGGGAGAAUUUUUGGGGCUCAAAACUUGUCAAUUAAUAGGCACUAAAGGCUGCCUUAUAUAGGCAACACCUAAGGGGCAACCCUCAGAUUUUUCUUUUUCAUUCUAUCCCGUUUUUAAUUUUUAUUUUUGCCUAAAUGUCCCUAGAGUUGUGACUUAUGUUUCAAGUUAUCUCAUAAAGUUUCCUAAAAUUCUGAUUUGACCCUAUCUAGAAUGUUCUGGGACUUCUACUAGUUGCUACCAAGAUUCUUUUAUUAAAAUGCCUAACUUACCCCUUUUCCUAACUAACUCUACUAGUUUUACUUCAAUUAACCCCAACCCUCUUCUAAACUAUCUAAACACUAUCAGCUAUAACCAAACAACCCACUUAACUAAGGUUAAACAAAGAAAACCAAAAUCAGCAGUUCAAAUCAAAUAAAACCCCUAACUGGACAAAUCAAACUGAUAUGAACCUAAAUCAAAUUGCAAUGACUAAUUGACUAAAACACAUAAUCAAGAUUAAAAUAGACUACAAUUGUAUACGGAAACUUAACAUACCAAUUAAUAUGAAGAAACUAAUCAAAACAGCCAAAUGCAUUUAAUUAAUCAUGCCAUGCUUAACUCCAAAUCGAACACAAUUGACUUAUCGAACCAAUACACACUAUUGAUCAAAAGAGAAUGAACAACAAACAAAUGAAAAAAAAACAACUAACCUAAUCAGAUACUAGCUUAACGAACUGAUAAAAGAAAAUGAGGAAAAAUAAACUAAAAUCCUAAACUGAUUAAUCGGCAGGAAUAUCAGUUAAUAAGAGGAAAAUAAUAAAGAAGGACCAAGAAAACCUUACCUAUGGAGCCGGGAACGAAGACUGAAAAACUCGAUUCGAGCCUAGAAAUAAUGUUAAUCAUUUGUUCUUCUCAAAGAACAAACGAAAAUGUUAUUUCAUGACUCGAACCGAAUAGCAGAUUCAGGAAGUUGGUAAAACUCGAGCAAAAUUGAACUCCUAGGGUUCUGCCUUCUCUAUGCUUUGCGAUUCGAGCAGUUCCGUUGAUGUUCGAAGAAAACCAAUGAGGGAUUCAGGAAGAGGGGAAUCAGUAGAAUAUAGGGUGUGAUUUAAGGUGUUUUGGUGCAGGUAAUGUUUUGACCGGAUUUUUGAUCCGAUAUUUGAAACGAAUAGUGUUGAUUCGAGGUAAAUAGUUUAGAUAUUUGGGAUGAAGGAGUUGAGGCGAGGCUAGGGUGUUAGUUUGGGGCCGGUUCGUGAUGGCGCCACCAUCGGAGACGGUGGGAAUUUGGUGGCGGGCUGGCGAGGGUUUUGGGGUUGGGUCUCAGAUGGGUUGGACUGAGAGAGACGAUGAUGGGGUAGGGGGAAGUUUUGGACACUUAUAUACAUAUAACUCCCCAGAUGAGAGCCGUUCGAUCUGUUAACCUGGAUGGCCAGGAUCUACUGAAGAUGAAACGGUGUCGUUUAGGGGGACGGAGAUUUGGACCGGGUAUGGGGAGAUUGGGCUGAGGACUGGGGUGGUAUUUGGAUUGGGCUAGGCAUAAUUAGUUUUAAAAAAUAACCCAAUUUCGGGCAUUUUAUUAAGACUACUCUUUCCUUUUUAAAAAAAAAUUUGUUUUCCUUUCUUUUUCAUUUUUUGCUCCUUUUAUUUUAAUUUUUUUAAUUUGGAACUAAUAGAAAUCUAGAUUAAUUCCUAAAAUUAAAGAAAAAACUAAUUAAACUAAAAAUAAAAAUUAGCACAACAAAUUAACACAAAACUACUUGAAAAUUAAAAUCGAAAUUAAAAGUGCAAACUACACUAUACUUUUGAUUUUUCCUUUUAUGAAAAAAUAAAUUUUCUAAUUAAUCCUGAACUGUAAAAUUAACCCUACAUGCACAUGCUAAAUGUAUUUUUUAUAUUUUUCAUAUGAAUUAAAAUGCAUAAAUAAAAUGUAACAAUUAACAGAAAAUAACACAAAAAUUCACAAAAACUAUAAAACAAAGAAAGAAAUCAUUUUGUUUGAAUUUCUGGGAAUAAUUCAUAUAAGAAAAAAUCACGUGCUCACAUACCUUUUGAAUACAUACUUCUCGACACUUUGCUUAUUUAGAAUACAUAUUGAACAUAUAUCUUUUAAUAUAAGGAUCAUCCGCAAUAGUAAAGUUUAUGAUGGAUAACCAGGAAUAUAGGAAUUAGUAAUCUUGAGCCAACCACAAUUGAAGUUACAUGAACAUUGUGAAAUUCGAUUCUAAGAGAGAAAUUUUAGCUAACAUUUCUCAAAUUCGCCCUUUAAUGAUACUACAAUGAUCCACUACAAUAAGAAACUUCAAUCUAAAAUAACAACAUCCAAUGAGAAUAAUAUUAGUAACAAAUUCCAUAGCUUAGGCCAUUUAUAUACUCUAUCAAACACCUAGUAGGCAUAAUUCUCUACAUCUCUUAACCAUAGAAUUAGUUCAUCCAACUACCAUCAUUUACCAAUAAUUUAUCCUACCAUCAUUCUUAAAUAACUAAUAACUCCCAAUAUCACAUGCAUGACCAUUCAUCCACACCCAACCAAUAAAAUUCCAUCAAAUAAUCACUUUUUAAUCUCUACAACGUAUAUGUAUUUAAAUGGGGAAUCUAUGUCUUCUAAUCACCAUCCCAUGAGUUUCAAUACUCAAUUUAUACUCAUAUUACCAUAAUAAAUUCAUCCAUGCAUGUAAGUCUAAGUGUGUAAGGUUACCUUUGGAUGAAAUCUUACAAAACCCUCAUUUAAAUUUUUGAAGAAAUUCUUAAAAAUCUAAGAAUUUCAUAGUGGAGUGAGUUAGUUAUAGUGUGGUAAUGAUAGACAACAUAACAUGGGAUUUAAACAUAAUAUUGAGUCACAAAAUAUUGCACGUACAUACUUUUGAGCAAGAUGCAUCAUUAGUGGAAUAUCUUUAUUAUAUUUCUCUUACAUGUGACCUCUUUGGAAUUGAGUUCUACAAUAAUUUUCUUGAUAGAGUUGCGAUUUUUUGUUAUUACUUGCAACUUGCUUCUCCAAUUUCUCAAAAAAGGACUUUACUUGAUGGGUUUCUUAUAAGACCUUCUACUUCAAAUGAAUAACAUCUUCUAAUUUGUGCACACACCCUCAUAACAAUAACUUGCACUACAUCGCAUUAAAUGUAAAGCAACAUUAUGAUCAGACCUUUCUUAGCCACUAUCUUUAUUUCUUAUGUGCCUUAUAGGAUUUAGGCAAUCACUCUACUUCCUUUGUGAAUAUUAUCACGAUUUCUCUUUACUGUUAAACACCUCCAAAACACAUCUUAACAUCCUAUAUAUAUAUAUGGAGCCCCUAACAAAUAAAAAGAAUACUAUGAUAGUACCGGCAACAAGGCUCCGACUAUACCUCAAAGGCCAAGUUAAAACAUAAAAUUUUUAAUAAAUAUAAAAAUAAGACGGUGAAGGUGAUAAUCGGAAUAUGAAUAUAAUAUUAUUUUUGAUUGGGAGAUUUUUAGCACCAAUGUACCACUGUUCUUAAUACCACAGUUCACAAUACCAAUGUCCACAAUAUCACUAUUCACAAUACCACCAUGCUCUUUGUACGAAGUUCGAUCACGGGCUGAUCGGUUAGGCCAUCUCAUCCGAGACAUCAACCACAAUCACAAUUUUUGUGCAAAUAUACCAUCGUGAAUUUAGAACGGAGUUCGAUCACGACCCUAUCGACUAGGUCGUAUUAUUUGAAGACAUCAACCACAAUCACAAUCUCGAUCACAACUUCAAUUACAAUUUUAAUUAUAAUUUUCAGUACAAUCACCAGCGUGUGUGACAUUGGCGUUCGAUCAAGAUCCAAUUGGCUAGGUUGUUUCAUACAAGACAUCAAGCACAAUCACAAUAACAAUAUUUCCUUGGAUCUUUUGUCCAUGCACAAGAUUCUUUAUUACCGUAAUGCAGCCGACAAUCCUAGUACGAACCAUUUUGUGAUAACUAUGACCAUCUCCAAUUUAUAUAUUUUCUUUCAAUUCUUCUUGCCUCAUUCUUCCUAGUUAGUGAAUAGUUAUGCACUCUUACAUAUGUUACGUGGUCCUUUCCCUUAGUUUCUAGGAUCGUUGACCAUGUCAUGUAUGAAGAAUUUACCUUCCCUAACAUUCCACAUUCUUGGUGUACUAGUAGUUUAUCACUAGCAUAUCUUUUCAAAGAAUCACACCCUUACCACUUUUCUAGACUACACAUGUCUUCAACAAAAUAUUCAAACAUCAUAAACAUGAUUCCACUCUUGUUUUAAUGUACUUAAGUAGUCUCGUUAUGGCUCUUCCUUCCCCACUUGGGGUGAGUGUUCCUUAUUUCGACACAAGUCUUGAAAUUAGCAACUUGUGGGGCAUAAGUUUCAUAUCUAUAAUCCUCAUGUAUAUGAUCGACUAUUAUGGAGGUUUAAGUCGUCAUGGAGUUAACCUCAUAAGUGCUCAAGUCUUAUUCAGCCACACAGGCGAGGGAUCCCAAUCCCCUGUGACAAUAUUCUUUUUGGAGUGCAACACAACUUUGCACAUUCUUGGGAUUUUUAUAACAUUCAUAGUGCUAGGGUCUUCUAGACUCUCCUUAUACUUAAAGGGUCAUCUUAUUACAUAUACUUUGAUGUUCCUUUUUUCCCCUUAGAAUUAUCAUUGCCAAACAAGUCACAUAUGGAUAUAAAUAACUCAUCAUUAUCUCUUUCAACUUGUCAUGACUCCAACCCGGUCGUGAUGGCGCCCAAUACACUACUAGGUAAGCCCGACCAUUCAUAACAAUAUCUCAUUAAUUAAACAGAUGAAGAUAAAUAUCAUUUAAGUCAAAGGUCAAAAAUACUGAUAACAGGGCAGAAAAUCAAACAAAAUACCAAUACAGCCCAACUAGGACCUGGGGUGUCACGAAUAUGAGCCUCUAGAAUACAGAGUAACAUCCUACUACAAAGUCUGUCUAAAACUAAUAAUGCAGAAAUAAAGGAUACGGAUGGAGGGGAGAAAAUCAAUGGUUGCGAACGCCGUGCAGCUGCCUCGAUACUCUCAGAAGCUAAAUCUGCUGAUCAACUGGAUCUACUCAGCAUGAGACUGCCCUGGAUCUGCACGCAAGGUGCAGGGAGUAAAGUGAGUACUCUGACCCAGUGAGUAAUAAACAUAACUAUAGUCUGAAAGUAAGAAAAUGCAGAAAUGCACAAACUAUUCUAUAUCUAGUAGUUUAGAUCCGUAAUUGUGAAAAUAGUAACCAACAAGUAAUACAGUCAAGGAAUAAUGAAUGAAAGAAUGCAACACAUAUAACGGUACACUCUAGUACCCAUUGUGGCGUGCACCAUGCUCCACUUAUUAACGUCGACGCCGCUCACCGAGAGUGUGUAUAGACUCCGGAAGGGCUCCUACAGCCCAAGCGCAAUAUCAGCCAUGUCUUGGCUUCAAACAGGCUCUCGGCCUUAAUAUCAAUAUAUAUAAUCGCUGCGACGUGCAGCCCGAUCCAUAUCAAAGGAAACAUCCUCACUAUCGUGUCCUCAACCCAUCUCAGUCAAAUAAGUCCACACCCAAUCGGGAAUGACAUACUGUAGAGAUCUCAGCCCUCAUAUGCUUUUUCAUUUAAUGUUCUUGUAUAAAACACUAUUAUUAUAUUAUUUUUACCAGUUGAAAACAUGACCGAGAGUAUAUGUUAUGCACACAAGUGAGGAAAAUACAUAAAGAUCCCCUAAGGAUUCUAUAGGUCGGCACAAGGACCCAAACACAGUAAUAAGCCCAAUUCAUAAUGAUAAAGUAUGCAUCUCAACAGCCAAUAUAAUAGAAAUUAACACUCAGGAUGGACUAAGUCUCAAUCCCCAACAGUAAACGACCCUUCACUUAUGAGGGAAUGCCUGUCACGCCUAAAUAUAGCGUUACGAUGUGAAAGUCCGGGGUUUCAAAUCCUCAGAGCAGCAUUUACAUCCAUUAUUCACCUCUAGCCGGCCAAACUCUAGCUCGCAAUGCCCUUUCCUCUCGAAUCGACCUCCUCGCGCGUCAAAUCUGGCCAAAAUCACAAUGAAUACAUUACAAUAGGCUAAAGGAAUAUAACCUAAUAAAAAAGACUUGAAAAUAUUGAAAACCACGAAAUUUGCAAAUCCCGAGCCCAAGGCCUACUUCUCGAAAGUAAUAAAUUUUUAUACCAAAAUGUUCCUUAUCUCUCCAUGAGUCUAUGCACGUAAAAUUUAUCGAAAUUGGAGUCCAAAUGCUCCCUUAAAUCCCAAUUUCUCAUUCAAAAACUCAAGCCCUAGUUCUUCUCUUUUUAAUCAAAUUCCAUUAAUUUAGGUGUUGAAAUCACAAUUAGAUGAUGUUUCUAGGCCAUAGGACUUAUCUCCAAUCAAUUCCCAGUCAAAUCUCUCUUAAAAUCUCGUCAAAAGCUUCCAAGGUUGCUUAAAAAUGGUGGAAAAUAGACUUGAUUCGCAGAUGAAAUAUUAUUGAAACCCUUCUGCACAGCUGACGAAUCCUUCUUCGCAAACGCGAUGGCCAAAAAUCGCUGGGCCACCUUUUACUCUACGCAAACGUGGAGCCCAUCCCACGAAUGCGAUACUCUACCUGGCCCACCUACGCGAACAUGUAACCAUGAACGCGAACGUGAAGGCCAACUAGCUCCCCUUCUGCGAACGCGAGCCCCAAUCGGGACGCGAUGCACAAUGUCAGGGACCCUCAAACUUCCUCUAUGCGAACGCGGGGUCACAACCGCAAACACGAAUGACACGGACCACAAACCUAUGCGUACGCGAUCACAGCCUUGCGAACACGAAGGCCGAAAUUGGCCUGCAAUUGCUGUUGCAAAAUCUACAAUUGCUCAACUCCUCAAAACUCUCUGUUAGCUAUCCGAAAUCACCCCGAGCCCCCCGAGACUCCAACCAAAAGUUCCAACCCAUCCUAAAAUAUCAUACGAAGCUGUUCCAAGCAUAAAAACAUAUCCAACAACAUAAGAAUCAUCAACUCUCAACGUAUUCAAGCCUAUGUUCAACCAAAACAUCCGAAACUCACAUUCGAUCAAAAAUCCGACCUAGACACCUCCGAUUGAACUUAAAUUUUGCACACACAUCAUAAAUCACUAAAGAAGCUACUGUAACUCUCGAAAUUCCAUUCUGACCCUCGGAUCAAAAUCUCACCUGUCAACCGGAUAUCGCCAAAAUGCUAACUUCGCCAAUUCAGGCCUAAUUCUACACCGAACCUCCAAAUUAUUUCUGAUUGCGCUCCUAAGCCUCAAAUCAUCCCCCAAAGCUAACCGAAUAGUCAGAAUUCACAUUCGAGCUCUCUAACUCCCAAGUCAACAUCCAAUUGACUUUUCCAUCCAUACUUUUCUUAAAGAGACUAAUUAUCUCACUUCUUACAAAACUCUAUCCGAAUCACUUCAAAAUCACCAAACACGUAUAACAUGUAGAAGCAUACAACGGUGAAAACAAGACGGAAACAUAUGAGACAGUGGGUCGGGUCAUCACAUCCUCGCUAACUAAUACAAAUGCUCGUCCUCGAGCGGGUCAAGAAAUAUACCUGAAGUCUCAAAUAGAUGAGGGUAUCUACUCCGCAUCUCCUGAUUGGUCUCCCAAGUAGACUCCUCAACGGGCCGACCUCUCCACUGUACCUUUGGCAAAGCUAUAUCCUUUGAUCUCAAUUUCCAAGCCUGUCGACCCAAAAUAGCCACUGGAUCAACAUCAUAGGUCAAAUCAUCUUCCAACUGAACCGUGCUUAAGUCCAAAACGUAAGACGUGUCCCCAACAUACUUCUGGAGCAUGGAAACAUGGAAUACCGAAUGAAUGCCCGAAAAGCUGGGUGGAAAAGCAAGCAUAUAGACCAUCUCCCCAAUCCUCCUAAGCACAUCAAAAGGUCCGAUGAACUGUGGACUCAGCUUCCCUUUUUUUCCAAACCUCAUCACACCCUUCAUGGGUGAAACCUACAGCAAGACCUUCUCACCUACCAACUAAGAUACAUCUCGAACCUUCCAUUCUGUAUAACUCUUCUGACGCGACUGAGCUCUACGAAGUCUCUCCUGAAUCACCUUCACCUUCUCUAAGGCAUCCUGGACCAAAUCUGUCCCCAGCAACCUAGCCUCGCCGGGCUCAAACCAACUGACCGGAGAUCAACACCAUUUCCCAUAUAAGGCCUCAUACGACUCCAUCUGAAUGCUAGACUGAUAGCUGUUAUUGUAGGCAAUCUCUCCAAAUGGUAGAAAAUCAUCCCAAGAACCUCCGAAAUAAAUCACACAAGCACGCAACAUGGCCUCUAAUAUCUGAAUGGUACGUUCGGACUGCCCGUCAGUCUGAGGAUGAAAUGUUGUGCUAAGCUCUACAUGUGUAACCAACUCUUGCUGAAAAGUCCUCCAGAAUUAAGAAGUAAACUAAGUGCUUCUAUCCGAGAUAAUAGUAAUUGGAACCCCAUGCAAUCGGAAAAUCUCACGAAUAAAGAUCACUAUUAGCCGCUUUGAAGAAUAUGUAGUACACACUAGAAUGAAAUGUGCGGACUUUGUCAGCCGAUCCACAACCAGCAAAAUCGUGUCGACCUUCUUCAAAGUUCGAGGGAAACCACUAACGAAAUCCAUAGUAACUCUCUAUCAUUUCCACUUUGGAAUAACCAUCUGCGUCUCCCAUAUAAGGCCUCAUACGGCGCCGUUUGAAUGCUAGACUGAUAGCUGUUGUUGUAGGAAAACUCUUUAAGAGGUAGAAACUCAUCCCAAGAACCUCCAAAUUUAAUCACACAAGCACGCAACAUAUCCUCCAAUAUCUGAAUAGUACGCUCGGACUGUCAAUUCGUCUGAGGAUGAAAUGCUAAACUCAGCUCCACACGAGUACCCAACUCGUGCUGAAAAGUCCCCCAAAACUGAGAAGUGAACUGAGUACAUUUAUCCGAUAUAAUAUAAAUUGGAACACCAUGCAAUCGGACAAUCUCACGAAUAAAGAUCCCUGCCAGUCGCUCAGAAGAAUAUGUAGUACACACUGUACUGAAAUACGCAGACUUGGUCAGUCGAUCCGCAAUCACCCAAAUCGAAUCAAACUUCUUCAAAGUCCGAGGAAGACCACUCACGAAAUCCAUAGUAACUCUCUCAUAUAUCCAUUCAGGAAUUGCCAUCUGCUGAAGCAAACCGCCCGGUCUCUGAUGCUCAUGUUUUACCUACUGACAAUUGAGACACCGAGCCACAAAUCCCAUAUGUCCUUCUUUAUUCUCCUCCACUAGUAAUGCUGUCACAAGUGAUGGUACAUCUUCGCGGCACCCGGAUGUAUGGAGUUCCGCAAACUGUGGGCCUUCUCAAGAAUCAAAUCUCUAAUCCCAUCUACAUUGGGCACCCAAAUCCGGCCCUACAUCCUCAACACACCAUCAUCACAUAUAGACACAUCUCUAGAAUCUCCGUGCUGAACUCUGUCCUUGAAGACAAGCAAAUGCGGAUCAUCAUACUGGCAUUCUCUGAUGCGAUCAUAUAAUGAAGACCUAGAAACCACACUCGCUAGCACUCGGCUAGGCUUAGAAAUAUCUAACCGCACCAGCCGAUUGGCCAAAGCCUAAACAUCAACUAUAAGGGGACUCUCCUCAACUGGAGUGUACGCCAAACUCCCCAUACUGACUGCCUUUUGGCUCAACGCAUCGGCCAAUACAUUGGCCUUUCCCGAAUGAUACAAAAUGGUAAUAUCAUAGUCCUAAAGUAACUCAAGCCACCUCCGCUGCCUCAAAUUAAGAUCUUUCUGCUUGAACAAAUGUUGAAGACUGCGAUGAUCAGUGAAUACCUCACAAGAUACUCCACAUAAAUAGUGCCUCCAAAUCUUUAAGGCAUGAACAAUAGCAGCCAACUCUAAGUCAUGAAUAUGGUAGUUCUUCUCAUGGGGCUUCAACUGCCGAGAAGCAUAAGAAAUCACUCUACCCUCCUUCAUCAAUACACAUCCAAUCCCGACUCUCAAAGCAUAACAAUAAACAGUGUAAGAACCUGAGGCUGACGGAAAGACCAAUACUGGAGUUGUGGUCAAAGCUGUCUUGAGCUUCUGAAAGCUCUCCUCGCACUCAUCCGCCCAUACAAGCGGUGCACCCUUCUGCGUCAACUUGGUCAAUGGCGAGGCAAUAUAUGAGAAACCCUGAAAGAACCAGCGAUAAUAACCCGCCAAACCGAGGAAGCUACGAAUCUUUGUGGCUGAGGACGGUCUAGGAUAACUCUGAACUGCCUCAAUCUUCUUUGGAUCAACCUUAAUACCAUCACUGGACACUACGUGUCCCAAGAAGGCCACAGAACUAAGCCAGAACUCACACUUGGAGAACUUGGCAUACAACUUCUCCUCCUCAAUCUUUGCAAUACCACUCGCAAAUACUCUGCGUGCUCCUCCUGACUACGCAAGUAUACCAAGAUAUCGUUAAUGAAUACAAUGACAAACGAAUAUCAAUCUCUGCAAUACCACUCGCAAAUGUUCUACGUUCUCCUCCUGGAUACGCGAGUAUAUCAGAAUAUUGUCAAUGAAUACAAUAAAAAACGAAUCCAGAUAUGGUCGAAAUGCACUAUUCAUUAGAUGCAUGAAUGCUGCUGGGGCAUUGGUCAGCCCGAGACAUAACCAGAAACUCAUAGUGACCAUAUCUAGUCUUGAAGGCAGUCUUAAGAAUACCUGACUCCUUGAUCUUCAACUGGUGAUAACCCGAACGGAGAUCAAUCUUCGAAAACACCCUCGCUCCCUGAAGCUGGUCGAAUAAAUCAUUGAUGCGAGGCAGGGGAUACUUGUUCUUCACUGUUACUUUGUUCAACUGCCUGUAGUCAAUGCAAAUUCUCAUUGUGCCAUCUUUCUUCUUCACAAAUAACACAUGUGCACCCCAUGGUGACACACUCGGCCGAAUAAAGCCCUUUUCUAGGAGUUCUUGAAGCUGAUCUUUCAAUUCUUUUAACUACACUGGUGCCAUACGAUACGGCGAAAUGGAAAUGGGCUUGGUGCCUGGCACCAGUCAAUACCAAAAUCAAUGUCCCUGUCCGGGGGCAUACCUGGCAGUUCUGCGUGAAAUACAUCAGGGAAGUCCCUCAAAGCGGGAACAAAUUCUACACUGGGAGCUUCAGCUCCAACAUCACGCACGAAGGCCAAAUAUGAUAGACAACCCUUACAAACCAUGCGCUGGGCUUUCAAGAAAGAUAUAACCCUACUAGGGACAUAAUUAGUCAUACCACGCCUUUCGAUCCUCGGAACACCCGGCAUAGACAAGGUGACUGUCUUUGCAUGACACUCUAGAAUAGCAUGACACAGAAGAUAACCAGUCCUUGCCCAGAAUAACAUCAAAGUCUACCACGAUCUAAAGCAAUAAAUCAACUCGAGUCUCUAGACCCCCAAUAGUAACAAGACACGACCAAUACACAAGGUCCACAACAAUAGUAUCACCUACCGGGGUAGAUACGUGCACAAGUAAAUAAAGACACCAUCGGGUCGUAUCCAAAUGAUGAGCAAAAUAUGAUGACACAUAAGAAUAGGUAGAACCGGGAUCAAAUAAGAUAGAGGCAUCUCUGUGGGAGAUUGAAAUAAUACCUAUGAUAACAGUAUCUGAUGCAAGGGCAUCUGUCUUGCCUGGGAUAGCAUAAAAUCUAGCAUGUCCGCCACCGCCUCAUCGGCCUACGCCCCUAGGGAAACCCAUGGCUGCCUGGCCUUCACCCCUUCUAACUGGGCUGGUGCUGAAGAAACCGGAGCAGAAGACGAGGGUUGAUCCCUUUGCUAAGACUGACUAACACGACGUCAAGGACACUACCUCCUCAUAUGGCCAAACGUGCCACACUCGAAGCAAAUACCAGAUACUGGAGAAGGGGACUGAAGGGAACCCCUCACACCAGAAUGACCAGCCGAUGCGCUCAGCACAGAAGAACCCUAAGUUGAAGGGGCAUCUGAUGAGCUUUGAGAUGGGAGGGCACUAACUAAAGACUGGACCUACUUGAACCCUUGAGAACCACAACCUUAAGACGCCCCACGAUACUCGGGACGAGCUGACUGAUGAGGCCUGAAAGCACGACCUUUGCUCUGCUGAAACUGGCCCCUAGACGAAGCACCAUUGAAGGUACCCCAUCUAUGAGGCCUCUUGGCCUCCCUCUCAUCUCUUUGAUGACAUCAAGCCGUCUCAAUAUUACAAGCAUUAUCCAAUGCAUCCUCAAAGGUAUGACUCCGAAUCCUCUUUCUGGUUCAUAAUACAUACAGGAUAGAUAAGUCCGUCCACAAACCUCCUAAUCCUCUCUCAAUCAGUCAGGACCAUUCAUGGAGCAUAACAAGCCAACUCCAAAAAUCUUACCUCAUACUGUAACACAGUCAUACCUUCCUGAUGAAGCCACUCAAUCUGUCUCCGCAGCUACUCCCUCUGGGACUGCGGUGUCCACUUCUCCAGGAAGAGAGUGGAGAACUCCUGCUAUUACAAAGGCGCCGCACCUAUCGGCCUACGCCGCUUAUAUGCCUCCCACCAAGUAAAUCUUGUUCCUAAGAACUCAAAAGUAGUAAAUGAUACUCGUUCGAUUCCAAGAUCCCUGCUAUCCGCAGCAUACGUCGACACUUGUCGAGAAAACGCUGAGCAUCCUCUCCCGGAACACCACUAAAAGUAGGAGGUGAGAGAUUACUGAAUAUCUCAAGACGACGCUGCUCAUCUGGCAUAGCUGGAUUCACAUCAUCAUGAACCGACGCAACUGGCUGAACUGGGGCAACCUGCGAAACUGGGGCAACCUGCGGAACUGGGGCAACCUGCUGAACUGGUGGAGCCUCUAGUGUCUGCAAACCCUGCACGACAUGCUCAGGCAUGCGAGCAGUGAGGGUCUGAUUGCCUCCCCCGGCCUGCGAAGUAGCUGCUGCAGUAGUGGCUUAGACGGCCUGAGCCAGGCAAGUGCAAACUAAUAGAAUCGGUGCUAGGGCCUCCUGAAGACCAGAAAUCACAAUAGGCACUGCUGGUUCCUGAACAGGUGCUGCUAGAGUCUCUACAGCUGGAGCCUAAUCCUGAUCUGGGGCAACUGGUGGGUCAACAGGUGCGUCCCCCUCGGCUCUGCCUCGACCAUGACCUCGAUCGCGACCGCGACCAAAGCCUCUGAUUGCCUCAGUAGGUGGUACAGGUAGUUUCCGGCCAUGUCCGGUAGCUCGGGUUCUCACCAUCUACAAAAGAAUAGAAUAACAGAAUUUAGUUCUUGGAUCAACAAAGUCGCAUGAUAAGAAUUCCAAGAAAUUGAAGUUUCCUAAAGGUUCUACAGCCUCCUGAGGAUAAGUAUAGACGUCUUCGUACCGUUCCGCGAGAUCUACUAAACCGGCUCAUGACUCACGAGACCGUGUUACCUAGGCUCUGUUACAACCUUGUCACAACCCCAACCCGGUCGUGCUGACGCCCAGCACAGUACUAGGCAAUCCCGACCAUUUAUAACAAUAGUACCAUUUAUAAACAUAUGAAGAUAAAUGCCAUUUAAGUCAAAGGUCUAAAAUACUGAUAACAGAGCGGAAAAUCAAACAAAAUACCAAUACUGCUCAACUAGGACCCACUGUCACGAACAUGAGCCUCUAGAAUACAGAGUAACAUCCUACUACAAAGUCUGUCUAAAACUGAUAAUACGAAAAUAAAGGAUAGGGAUAGAGGGGAGAAAAUCAAUGGAUGUGAAUGUCGUGCAGCUACCUCGAUACUCCAGGAAGCUAAAUCUGCUGAUCAACUGGAUUUACUGAGGUUGAGACUGCCCUGGAUCUGCACGCAUGGUGCAGGGAGUAAAGUGAGUACUCUGACCCAGUGAGUAAUAAACAUAACUACAGUCUGAAAGUAAGAAAAUGCAGAAAUGCACAAAGUAUUCUAUGUCUAGCAGUUUAGAUCCAUAGCAGUGAAAACACUAACCAACAAGAAAUACAGUCAAGGAAUAAUGCAUGAAAGAAUGCAACACAUAUCACGGUACACUCUAGUACCCGUUACGGUGUAAAUCCCGCUCUACUUAUUUAACGUCGACUGUGCUCACUGGGUUUUGUACAGACUUCGGAGGGGCUCCUACAACCCAAGUGCAAUAUCAGCCAUGUCUUCGCUUCAAAUAGGUUCUCGGCCUUAAUAUUAAUAUAUAUAAUCCUUGUAGAGUGCGACCCGAUCCAUAUCAAAUGAAACAUCCUCACUAUCGGGUCCUCGACACAUCCCAGUCAAAUAAGUCCACAACCAAUCGGGCAUGGCAUACUAUAGGGUCUGAGCCCUCAUAUCCGUUUACAUUUAAUGUUCGUGUAUAAAACACAGUUAAUAUAUUGUUUAUAACAGUUGAAAACAUGACUGAGAGUAUAUGUUAUGCACACAGGUGAGGAAAACACAUAAGGAACCCCUAAGGAUUCUACUGGUCGGCACAACGCUCCAAACACGGCAAUAAGCCCAAUUCAUAAUGAUAAAGUAUGUGUCUCAAUCGCCAAUGUAGUAGAAAUUAACACUCGGGAUGGACUAAGUCUCAAUCCCCAAUAGUAAACGACCCUGCACUCAUCGGGGAAUGCGUGUCACGACUCAAUAUAGCAUUACGAUGUGAAAGUCCAGGGUUUCAAACACUCAGAGCAAUAUUUACAUCCAUUACUACCCUCUAGCCGACCAAAGUCUAGCUCGCAAUUCCCUUUCCUCUCGAAUCGAUCUCCUCACGCGUAGAAUCUGGCAAAAUCACAAUGAAUACAUUACAGUAGGCUAAGGAAAUAUAACCCGAUCGAAAAGACUCAAAAAUAUCGAAAAUCAUUAAAUUUGCAAAACCCGAGCCCCGGGCCCACUUCUCGAAAGUCAGAUAUUUUUAUAUCAAAAUGUUCCUUAUCUCGCCACGAGUCUAUAAACGUAAAAUUUAUCGAAAUCGGAGUCCAAAUGCUCCCUCAAAUCCCCAUUUCUCAUUCAAACCCAAGCCCUAGCUCUUCCCUUUUUAAUCAAAUUCCACGAAUUUAGGUGUUGAAAUUUCAAUUAGAUGAUGUUUCUAGGCCAUAGGACUUACCUCAAAUCGAUUCCCAGUCAAGUCCAUCUUAAAAUAUUGUCAAAAGCUCCCAAGGUUGCAUAAAAUGGUGGAAUAUAGACUUGGUUCACGAAUGAAAUAUUAUUAAAACCCUUCUGCUCAGCUGAUGAAUCCUUCUAUGCGAACGCGAUGGCCCUCUCGCGUUCGUUAUGACAAAAAAUCACUAGGCCACUUUUUACUCUACGUGAACGCGGAGCCCAUCCCACGAACGCGAUUCUCUACCUGUCCCAACUACCUAAACGUGUAACCAUGAACGUGAACGCGAAGGCUAACCAGCUCUCCCUUUCGCGAAUGCGAGCCCCAGUCGUGGAUGCGCUGCACAAGGUUAGGGACUCCCAAACUUCCUCUAGGCGAACGUGGAGUCCCAAUUGCAAAUGCAAAGGACAGGGACCAAAAACCUACGUGAACGCGAUCACUGCCUCGCGAACGCGAUUGCCAAAAUUGGCCUGCAACUGCUGUUGCAAAAUCUGCAAUUCCUCAACUCCUUGAAACUCUCCGUUAUUUAUCCGAAAUCACCCCGAGGCUUCCAUAACCUCAGCCAAAAGUUCCAACCCAUCCUAAACAUCAUACGAACCUGUUCCAAUCAUGAAAACACAUCCAACAACACAAGAAUAAUCAAUUCUCAAUAGAUUCAAGCCUAAGCUUAACCAAAACUUCUAAAACUCACAUUCGAUCAAAAACCCGACCUAAACACCUCCGAUUCAACUAAAAUUUUGCACACACGUCAUAAAUCAGCUAACGAAGCUACUAUAAUUCUGAUCCUUGGAUCAAAAUCUCACAUAUCAAUCGGGUAUCACCAAAAUGCUAACUUCGCUAACUCAAGCCUAAUUCUAUGCCGAACCUCCAAAAUUACUUCCGAUUGCGCUCCUAAGCCUCAAUCCAUCCCUCGAAGCUAACCAAAUUGUCAAAAUUCACAUCUGAGCCCUCUAACUCCCAAGUCAACAUCUGGUUGACUUUUCCAAACUAAACCUUCCUUUAAGAGACUUAUUGUCUCAUUUCUUACUAAACUCUAUUUGAAUCACUUCAAACUCACCAAACACGUAUAACAAAUCAUGUAAAAGCAUACAACGGAAAAAAUGGGAUGAAAACACAUGAGACGAUGGGUCGGGUCAUCACAUAACUUCUUGUCUCUUGUGAGAGAUCUAUAUUAUCGCCAUUACCCUCUAAGUCAUGCCUUCCAUAUAUCACAUGCCUAUGUAACCAAUUUUCUCUAACAUAUUAGGAUCAUAUACAUGGUUCCCACAUUAUCCAGAUGUACUAGUUAAGCUAGGUCUCAGUUAACAUGUCGAUGUCACUUUGGAGGUGGGUAAUCAAUUCUAAUACCUUUUUCAUAUUAAGUAUGAUCCGGGUACUCUAGCAUUGAUUCUAUUCCCGUUGUGAGAGAUUUUCCUAAUGUAUUUCCUGCAGACCUACCAAGCAUGCUGCCGGACAGGGAUACUAAUUUUGUAUUGAUCUGAGGCCGGGCACUCAGCCUAUUUCCAUUUCGCCAUACCGUAUGGAACCAACGGAGCUAAAGGAAUUGAAGGAGCAACUUCAGGAGCUCCUAGAUAAGGGGUUCAUUCAACCUAGUGUGUCGCCGUGAGGUGCGCCAGUUCUGUUUGUGAAGAAGUAGUAUGGAAUAAUGAGAAAGUGCAUUGAUUAUAGGCAAUUGAACAAAGUAACAGUGACAAACAAGUAUCCCCUGCUUCGUAUUGAUGAUUUAUUUGACGAGCUUCAGGGAGCGAGGGUGUUGUCCAAGAUUAAUCUUCGUUCGGGUUAUCACCAGUUGAAGAUGGGGGAUUUAGCUAUUCUUAAGAUUGCGUUUAGGACUAGAUAUGGUCACUAUGAGUUUCUUUUUAUGUCUUUUGGGCUGACCAAUGCCCCAUCAGCAUUCUUGUAUUUGAUGAACAAUAUAUUUUGGAUUUAUUUGGAUUCUUUUGUUAUAGUGUUCAUUGAUGAUAUUCUGGUGUACUCACGUAGCUGGGAGGAGCACACAGAACAUUUGCGAGUUGCAUUACAGAGAUUGAGGGAGGAGAAUGUUUAUGCAAAGUUCUCCAAGUGUGAGUUUUGGCUCGGUUCAGUGGCUUUCUUGUGGCAUGUGGUGUCCAACGAUGGUAUUCAAGUUGAUCCAACGAAGAUAGAGGUAGUUCAUAUUUGGUAGAUUCUUUAGUUUGGCGGGCUAUUGUUGAUGGUUUGUUCAGGGGUUUUCAUCCAUUGUCUCGCCUUGACCAAGUAGACUCAGAAGGGUGCUCCAUUUGUAUGGUCAGACGAGUGCGAGGAGAGCUUUUAGAAGCUCAAGACAGCUUUGGCCACAACUCCAGUAUUGGUUUUGCCAUCAGCUUCGGGUUCCUACACCGUCUAUUGUGAUGCUUCAAGAGUCGAUAUUGACUGUUUAUUGAUGCAGGAGAGUAGAGUGAUUGCUUAUGCUUCUCGUCAGUUAAAGCCCCACGAGAAGAACUACCCUGUUCACGAUUAGGAGUUGCUUCCAUAGUUCAUGCAUUGAAGAUUUGGAGGCACUAUUUGUAUGACGUAUCUUUUGAGGCAUUCACCUAUCAUCGUAGUCUUCAACGUUUGUUCAAGCAAAAGGAUCUUAAUUUAAAGCAUCAGAGAUUGCUUGAGUUGCUUAAGGAUUAUGAUAUUACUAUUCUGUAUCAUCUGAGAAAGUCUAAUGUAGUGAUUGAUGCUUUGAGCCGAAAAGUAGUUAGUAUAGGGAGUUUGGAGUACAUUCUAGUUGGGGAGAGACCCCUUGCAGUUGAUGUUCAGGAUUUCAUCAAUCGGUUCAUGCGGUUAGAUAUUUCGGAUCCUAGUCAGGUGUUGGCGUGUGUGGUUUCUCGGUCUUCUUUAUAUGAUAGCAUUAGAGAGCAGCAGUAUGAUGACCCGUAUUUGCUUGUCCUUAGGAACCAGGUUUAGCAUGAUGAGGCCACGUAUGUGACCAUCGGUGAUGAUGGGGUAUUGAGGAUGCGUGGCCAGAUUUGUGUGCACAAUGUGGAUGGGCUUAGAGAGUUGAUUUUAGAGGAGGCCCACAGCUCGGGUAUUCUAUUCAUCCGGGUGCCGCGAAGAUGUAUCAGGAUUUGAGACAACACUACUGGUGGAGGAAAAUGAAUAAAGAUAUUGUGGGAUUUGUAGCUCGGUGUCUCAACUGUCAGCAAGUGAAAUAUGAGCAUCAGAGACCGGGUGGCUUUCUUCAAUAGAUGGUUAUUCCCGAGUGGAAGUGGGAGAGAGACACUAUAGAUUUUGUGAAUGGUCGUCCUCGGACUUUGAAGAAGUUUGAUUCGAUUUGGGUGGUUGUGGAUCAGCUCACCAAGUCCGCAUACUUCAUUCCGGUGUGUACGACCUAUUCUGCAGAGCGGCUGGCAGGGAUGUUCAUUUGGGAGAUUAUUCGGUUGCAUGAGGUUGCAGUUUCUAUUAUCUCAGAUAGAUGCACUAAGUUCACUUCCCAGUUUUGGAGGGCUUUUCAGUGAGAGUUGGGUACACAGUUAGAGCUGAGCACAACGUUUCAUCCUCAGAUGGACGGACAGUCCGAACGUCAAUUCAGAUAUUGGAGGACAUGUUGUGUGCUCUGUUAUUGACUUCGGGGGUUCUUGGGAUGAGUUUCUUCCACUUGCAGAGUUUGCCUACAACAACAUCUAUCACUCUAGUAUUCAGAUGGCAUCGUAUGAGGCACUGUAUAAGAGACGGUGCAGAUCUCCAGUGGGUUGGUUUGAGAUCGGUGAGGCUAGGCUCUUGGGGACGGAGCUGGUUCAGGAUGCCUUGGAGAAGGUGAAGGUGAUACAGGAGAGGUUUAGUAGAGCGCAGUUGCGUCAGAAGAGUUAUGCAGACCAGAAGGUUCGAGAUGUGUCUUACAUGGUGGGUAAAAAGGUCUUUCUAAAUGUUUCACCCGUGAAGGGUGCUAUGAGGUUUGGAAGGAAGGGGAAAUUUAGUCCGCAGUUCAUUGGACCUUUUGAGGUACUUCGGAUGAUAGGGGAGGAGGCUUAUAUGCUUGUCUUGCCACCCAGCUUAUCGAGUGUGCAUCCGGUAUUCCAUGUUUCUAUGCUCCAUAAGUAUGUUGGGGAUACCUCAUGUUUUGGACUUCAGCAUGGUACAUUUGGAUGAUGAUUUGACUUAUGAUGUGGAGCCAGUGGCUAUUUUGGGUCGUCAGGUUCGAAAAUUGAGGUCAAAAGAAAUAACUUCGAUAAAGGUGCAGUAGAGAGGUCGGCCCGUGGAGAAGGCUACUUGGGAGACCGAACAGGAGAUGUGAAACAGAUACCCUCACCUAUUUGAGAUUUCAAGUAUGUUUCUUGACUCGCUCGAGGAUGAGCGUUUGUUUUUGUUGGGGAGGAUGUGAUGACCCGGCCCGUCAUCUCAUGAGUUACUGCCCCGUUUUCCCCAUUUUAUGCUUCUUCAUGUUUCAUUAUCGGUAUUUGGUGUGUUUGAGUUAAUUCGAAUUGGUUUAGUAGGAAAUGAGACACUUAGUCUCUUUAAGGAAGGUUUGGUUUGGAGAACUCAACCGGAUAUUGACUUGAAUUAGAGGUUUCGGAUGUGACUUCCAGUGAUUUGGUUAGCUUCGAGGGAUGAUUUGUGACUUAGGAGCGUGAUUGGAAGUAGUUUUGGAGGUUUGGAGUAGAAGUUAGCUUGUUUUGGCGAAGUUAAUAUUUUAGCAAAUUAUAGUAUCUAGGUGAGAUUUUGACCCGAGAAUCAGAAUGGAAUUCUGAGAGUUGCAGCAGCUUCAUAAGGUGAUUUGGGAUGUGUGUGAAAAAUUUCAGGUAAUUCGGAAGUGUUUUGGUGGGUUUAUGAUUGAAUGCGAGUUUGAUGAACUUAGGCUUGAACUUGAUGUAAUUUGAUGGUUUUAGUGUUAUUUGUGGUAUUUUGAUGAUUCGAGCAAGUUUGAAUAAGGUAAUGAAAUGUUUGUGUUUUUGGUUAAGGUCCCGGGGCGUCGGUGUGAUUCCGAAUGGCGAUCGGGAAGUUUUGGACUUGUAAUGUUGCAGAAAAUCUGCUGCUUCUGGUAUUUCAGCACAUGUAGAAAAGGGCCCGCAGGUGCGGCGUCGCAUGUGUGGAGGAGGAAUCGCAUAAGGGAGUUCUGGACUGGAGGCUUGUUUCCACAGAAGCGGAAGCCGCAGAUGCGAGAAUGGACCGUAGAUGCGGUUAUGGACCUUAAGUGAAUGUCUGCAUAAGUGGAAGGAGGACUGCAAAAGCGGAAGUCGCAGAAGUGAUAUUUCGACCGCAUAUGCUAUUUCGCCUGGGCAGAAAUAUUAAUUUCAUCUUCGCGAAUUUUUGGAAGGAGUCUCAUUCUAACUUCGGACUUGGAGUGUUUUUGGGAAAUUUUGAAGAGGGUUUUUGAAGAAGGAAGAAGAGUGAGACCUAUGAGAAGUGUGUUUGAUGAUUCAAAUUGUCUUAUGGAAAGACCAUAUUUUUUAUAGGCAAAAAGACUCAAGAUUUUUCUUGCCAUUUGUUAAGGCUCUUGCCAUUUGUCAAUUUUGUAGCAUGCAUCUUGCCAUUUAUCUUAACCUUCUAGAAGGCCUAAACAAUUGUCCAAAGAAGCUUUAAAAUAUUGCUACAUUGUAAACUUUCGUUAGACAAACGCUCGUAAACAAGUAACAUACGACGACCUCUUUUGUUUGAAGAGAAACCGAUUGCAAAUAAUGACGGUGAGUGGUGAUAGUGAUGGUGGCUAUAGUUGAUGUUGGUGGUGGUAGUAAUGGUAGUUGAUAAUUAAUGGUAGGCGAUUGUGAUAGUUAAUAAUGAAUGUGGAACUAUCUUAAUAAAAUUAAUUUUCUGUUAUAGAUCUUAAUUAUAUAGGCAUAUUCAAACCCAUUAAAUAAUUGAGAAGAAAAAAAUAAAUACACUUAAUAAUUAAGAAUUAGACUUUUAAAAAGUACAUCCAAGAUGUAAAUGAUUAAGAUUCAGGCUCUAAUCCCUUGCCCAUGUCUCAUCCUAGUCAAGUAAAGGCAUAUCGUAUGACGGAAGGUCUUUAUAAACUCACGAGAACUUACAUCUUAGUUCAAUAUGGGACAAAUUAAACAGCUUCUAAUCCUGUUUAGGUAACUUUUUGCCUGUCUUUAAAGCUGGAUUUGGUGUUGGGUUCUCAGAAAGUAGGGAGAAUUUGAUUUUGGGGCUAGCACAACUAACAAUUAGGAAUCUGACAAAUUAAUACAAUUUUGGGCUUUCAGCCUGCAAAAAAAGAAGACGGAAUAGCUCUAACUUUGCUACUUCUUUGUUAUGCAAUUAUGCUAGCUGUACGGCUGAGUUUGUCACAAAAUUUGUAUCGAACUUAUCCGUCUUUAAUCCAUCAUAAUUUGCGACGUAUUUAAUCUUAAGUACGUCCAAUAUUUAGUGAUCGAUUAGAAAUAUCCCUCUCUGAUUAAGACUUAAGACAUAUAUUCCAUCACACACAUUUGUUAUUAUUCAAUCAUAAAAAUUGUGCGACAUCCACAAAAAAUUCAUCCCGGAUUUGUUACAAAGUCGAAUUUGUAAUUGGUAUUUUGACAGAUUCUUCCAUCGCAAAUCCAUUUUUACAUGGCUCAUGUUCGACCUGCUAUAUCUAACCCGACUUGCCAGUUUGCCACCCCAAAUCAUGACUAUUCCAAAAAGUACUCUAAUGUCAUCGAUCUAUGGACUCAAGAAAAGUGCUAAAUUUGACUCGGUUAUAAAACUCAAGUCAUAAGACAAACAAAGCAACGGUACAUAGCUGAUUCGAAAUGCAUAUAAAAACUGUUUGUACGCUGUGAUUGAGUUUUCAAAGCCAAGCAGAAGUGCAUAACACCAAUGGUUGCUAAUCAGUGUCAUUGUCCACAUAUAUUUAAGUAGAAGUUUUUGCAAUUGUAAUGUGUAAUUAAUUAACUACGAGUUUUUGACAUGUCCGAAGCACCAUAUAUUUUUUUACAUGUAGAAAGUAACUGCCCCCCGCCAAACAACAACAAGUAACUAAAUAAAGUUGGAAAUUAGCAGCUUGGCCGGUAGAGUUGAUGUGGAUGACAUUAAUCUGGGAACCGACUGUUCUGGGAAGAGUAGCUACUUAAUUAAUUGUUUUGCCCUAACAUUUGGCCUUUCACACGUCUGAAUGGUGUAUUUAUUACCAAUACUUCCUUUGGACUUUUAGUCUUAGAAAUAACCAGAUCAGUGUUUUUUUCAUAAAUUUUAUAAUCUUUUAGGUUGCAUACCGUAUUUUAAGCUUUAUUAAUUCACCACGCAAAAUGUUGCCAUCAUCAGCAAAUUAAUAUGUACAAUAAUGUAAACGGUCCCUCUAGAUAGUCUUUUCAAAUCCAAUUUUAAGUCAAUCUAUUCAUAGUAGUUAGAAAAAAAAAAGUACUAGUUCAGUGACAAAAUAUUUUGUAUGCACGUAAUAUGCGAAAAAAUUAAGAUAGUAAUCCAAGGGUGUGAUGUAGACAAACUACUAUAAAAUAUGCAUUAAUAGCUAUUUCUACGCUCAAAUAUAUGGACUAUAUCAAUGUUAUUUAUUACUUGAGUUUUGAAUGGGAUUAAAGUCACGAGGCAAAUAGAAAAGAGGUGAAUAUGAAAGUUUUAAGUAAUAAUAUAUUAAAAGAAAAGGCUCCGUAUAAACCUAUGUUGAACACAUCCAAGCUUUUGAAUCUAACCGUGUGAACAUAAAAAUCAUUUAUUAAAUAAAUAGUGACAAAGACGACAUCAACACCGCUGUCUCAUAGUACUUUGCAUCUUCCUUCUUGUUUCUCGCUCAUCCUAAUUAUAAAUUCUGACACAGAUCUCUAUAUGGGGCAACUGCAAAAGUAACGAGAGCAAAUGCAAAUUAAGUAUUUAAAUUUGAUUAAUAUUUAAGUUGAAUUUAUUCUAAUUUUAAAAUAAUAGGUUUAGAAUUUAAUAUGUAAUAUAAUUAUAGUUAUAUAUCGUUAUUCAGUACGGAAGAUAUUUAUGUUUUGUAUGCGUGAUAAAUAGUUGGUUGGGUUUACUAGUUGAAUUAGACUCCCUAGUCGCGAAUUCUUAUCCUAAUGAUAGCUGAAGGAGUUUUUUAAUAACAUAAUUAGGAGAAUCCGAGGCCGUCCCUGCGCCCAAUGCCAUUUCAGAGUUUAUUAACAUUUGAUAGAAUUAUAAUGAAAAGUUACACUAUUAACCUCUUAUAAUAGAUGAAUUUAUUAUUUAGUGUAAUUUACUACAUUUGUUCAAAUUUAGGUGAAUUUAUUUCUUUUUUGGUCCGUUCCAAAAAGAGUGACACAUUUUUAAAUUUUAAAAUAAUUUAGCUUAAACUUUUAAUUCUGUCUUUAAUAAUAAUUUUUAUAACCACACAAUACUUUGAAUCUCUUUUUUACUUGUUCAGGCCACAAAUCUCAAUAAUCUUCAAUUUUUCUUAAAUUUCGUGUCAAGUCAAACAAAUUUACAUAAUAAAAAUGGAGGGAUAUUAAAUGGAGUUACUUACAAUUUUCUUUUUAAAUGACCUAACUUAAAUCCUUCCAAAAAAAACAAUAGGACUAAAGAAGGCUCUUGACUCCUGGAAGGUAGCAUUUGACAUUAAUUCCUCAAUUCAUGUGAACCUAUUUUUUUGUUGUCCGUUUUAAACAAAAUAAAUUCUUUCUAAAUAUAAUAAAAAUUUAGCUUAAACUUACAAAAAGCUUUUAUAACUAUAUAAAUAUUUUGGGCCAUAUUUAAACUUGUUUAGGACCACAAAUUCUAAAAACCUUUAUUUUUUUUAUAACUCCAUAUUAAGUCAAAUAAGUUCACAUAGGAUUAUACCAUAUUUUAGUCACAUGCUUUUUCUAUAAAUUUAACCAUCUUAUUUCCCCAUUACUACUACACAUUCACCCUAUAAAUAGAAAUUCUCCUCCCGUUGGUUGCAACUUGGGAACCCUAGCUAGCUCUCUCAUCUUCCUCCUUAAUUUGCCUCAACAUAUAACACAAAAACUGUCAUUAUAUUGUAAACAACGUAACCAUGAUUGCAUCUCUGUCCAGCUGGUUCACUCCAACUGUUCUCUUCUGCGUUCUGAACCUCAUGAUUGGUAUUAUUCUCAUUUCUUCUAGCUUCAAGAAUGACAAAAAACAACAACAACAAUACGCUGAAGAUAAUAACUUACCUCAACUCCCCCGAACUCCAUCUUUAUUACAGCGUGUUAGGUCAGUAAAUUACUUCUCUUUCGUCCCUGAGCCAUUUAAUUCCCCUUUAACUACUCCUCAUUUCGCCGAAAACUCUUCACCUCGACUCGGCUACAGUCCCUCUAUGCUUCAGCGAGUCCGGUCUAUCAACUUCUCUUUCUCCCCCCGGUCCGAAAAACCCAGUCCGUUUCCGUCUCUGGACCAAUACGCCGGCCGUCCAUCUGAUGAAAAUGAAGCUCAGAAGGUUGAAACUGUAACUGUAACUGAACAAGAAGAGGAUUUGCAAUGUCACGUGAUGAGAAGUAAAUCUACCACGUGCGCGGAAACUACAUUAAUGAAGAAGUUGGCUAGUGAAGAAAUACUGGCGGCGGUGCAGAAGGAGGAGGAGAAAGAGGUAGUGGUGGUUCGGAAGCGGCCGGCGACGGUGAGGGAGAGAAAGCAGGGGAAGAAGUCGUUUGGGCGGGAUGAUGAAGCAGUAGAUCGGAAAGCUGAUGAUUUUAUUAGCAAGUUUAGGGAGCAGUUGAAGAUGCAGAGAAUUGAUUCUAUUCAAAGGUCCAAGGAAAUGUUAAACAGAGGUGUGUCCAUUUAGGAUAGCUUUGUCCUUCUAAAUUUAUGCUUUCAUGUAUGGCAGAUCCAUGUCGUUUUCUGUCAAUUCAAAAGUAAAGACGAUUCGGUUGUCGCAUCUCAAUUUCUUUUUAAGUGGUUAUUUUUUUGUUAUUUUGAUAUGAAAAAACAACUGAUAAGUGAUAAAACUUCUAGUAGUAAUUUUAAUGGUUAGACGAUGCUGCCCAAGAAAUUAAUUGGAAUAUUGUAAAAAAGAAAUUUUUUCCUUUCUAUGCAAUAUUUAAAAUUUAUUUAUCAAAAUUGUCCCUAUUACCACACAUAUUUCACCUUCAAAUCUUGUAAAACGACCUGGAUUCCGGAAAACAUUUGUCCAAGCACAGAGUAUUCUCCUUUUAAACUCAAAAUUUUGGGAAUAACAUUUCAAAUAUAAUUCACGAGAAAAGUACGUAAUUGAAACACAAAUAUAUCUCCAAGAAAACUUUUCGUAGUAACUUUUCCAAAACUAAACUAAUUAGAACCAAAUAAAAUAAAAUUUUACUUUUACAGUAAGUUAAUUAUAUCUGAUUUGGUCCUGAAUAUUGGUCAAUUUUUAAUUCUUUUGAGCACAGAGUGGCAAAUAGUAAGAUUAAAGGAAUAAGUAAUACCUCUCCGUUUCAAUUUACGUGAAUUUAUUUCUUUUUUGGUUUGUACCAAAAAAACAAUAAUUAUUUUUUAAGAUUUAUAGCUAUAUAAAAUAUAUGUAUUUUAUUUUAUAUCAUAAAUUUAAAAUCUUCUUUCUUUUCUUAAAUUUUGUGCCCAAUUAAAUGAGUUCACAUAUAUUAAAAUGGAAGGAGUAUUAGUAAUUCUUCCAAAAAAUAGAAAAACUGCUUCUGGCUAAUGACUAAAAAAACUUAUUUAUAUUAACCAAACAAUUUAAAUUUAUUAAAAAAAUACUUUUGGCCUAUGAGAAACUUGCUAAACAUGCUCUUAGACGGUGGGGAGAGAAUCUAAGGAAGUUUGGUGGUUCGAUAUUUUCAAUAUGUAAUUUUUUUCUACCAAAAAAGUUGUAUUUUUUUGUUGUUUUCUAUGUUUUAAAACGUAUUAUUAUUUUGGAAAGAAUGAUGCUUUAUAUGGCUGCCAAACAUAGUUGUGCUCACAAUCACGUUUUAGAUAGCAGAUGGUCUGAAAAACGAGGCAGAAACAUGCCGAUAUGUUUCAUUUCACUAUUCAUGUUAAGAUUACAUCACUACUAGAGAUUCGCUAAAAUCAGGCCAACAUCAACAUUGGACGGUCAAUAAACGUGACCGAGAAAACACCCAAAGCGGACGGAAACUAUCAAUAAAAAUAUUUUGUAUUUUAAAUAAAUUAGUAUCGAUCGAUCGGUAUAUUAGUCAAAAAUUUAAUUGCAAUAGUCAAACUUGUUUAAUCAAAAUAUUUUAUUUUUUAUAUUAGUGACCAACACGAGUCGAUAUUGUGGACUUACAUUUUUAAAUUUUAAUAAUUAUAUUAUUAUUUAUAAAAUUUAUAGUUGAAUUUAUCGACUAAAAUCGGUUGGUUAUUACAGGAGAAGAUUUUUACCGACCAACUUUUGGUCGGUAGCUGUAGCUUCUGAAAUAUAACCGACCAACUUCAACUGGUUAAUAGGUCAAACAUGGUCAAACUUUUGAAUCACAUUUAAAUUUACAAUCUAAAUAAUAUAAAUAUAAACUAUUACCACUUUAUUUUGUAAUACAAAUAAUGAAUGUAUAAAGAGAGAGAGAAAAGGAGAGUGGUAUAGCCGCAUCUAAGAACGCGAAGCGCUAGGAUCACAAGGUUCGGUUCUUUUGGGAAUAAUCUUGUGAAGAAGCAAUAAUCUAAUUAGUACAUAUCAUCAUCCAUACUUAUUCCGCCAUUUUGUCAUUUUCAUUACUAUUGUGGCAUGUAACCCAAUCCCACACAUAUCAUCAUUUUCGUUACGGUUGCGGAGUGCAACAGAUCCCACACAUAUCAUUAUUUUAAUUAUUGUUGCAGUGUGCAACCGGAUCUCAUACAUAGCGUCAUUUAAGCAAGUAAUUUACACCUAACUACGGUGUACCACAAAAAUAAAAAAGAUGAGACUACACAAAGAAGUCACAAUUGAUGAAAAAGUUACACGAUAACCCACAAAAUCAAAUUGUAAUGAAUGGCAAUCCAUAAACGAAGACACAAUGUUUGAGCGUCAAUCAACAAUUAGGGCAUGUAACAGAUAAGGCAUGAAUGCAAUAAAUAAUUACAAUCAACAAUUAGCAUAUCGGAUAAACUUGACAAUAAAAUAUGGAUCAUGGACUAACAACUUUAGGUAAAGCACGUAAGAGAAAGAUAUAACAUGAUAACUAUAAUUAAUUGCAAAAGGAAGCCUAACGAUCUAAUCUGGUCGAAUACAACAAAUAAGUUUGUGUAAAUACUGGUCACAUUGUGUACAUGCCUUCCAUAUAUUUCAAAUAGUACUAUCAAUCCAAACCUAAGGGGUAGUUUUCCCCGUACAAAGUUAGGCAAGAUACUUAUAUUUAGGAAGUUCGACUGAUACUUAAAUGGUCUUCUCGCAUGAAACGGCCUCCAGAUGACUCAAAUAUAGCCAAAAUAAUUUCAUAAAAUAAUUAAAAUUCAUAAGAAAUAAUUCCGGAUAAUAAAAUAUCGACUUUUAAUUUUACACUAAAAAGUCAACGCAAAAGUCAACCCGAGGCAUGUAUAUCGAAAUCCGACAAAAUUUUUAUGAAAUCCGAAUACUCAUUCCGAUAUGAGUUCAAUCAUAUAUAAACUAUCAAAUUACAUUUUCCUGAAAGAUUUUCUAAAUUUCCAUUUCCUUUUAUCUGAUUCACCAGUUUAAUGACAUAAAUACAUAUGAAAUCAUGAAAUACAAUCUCCGGUUAUGGAAUACAAACAAAAUCAAACUCGUGAAGAAUCCCUUGAAAAUCUCCCAAAAUCGAGAUAAAAACUCUAAAAAUGAGCAAACAUGGCAAACCCCGAAUAUAUGAUUAUGUCUAGUGUCCUCGCAUCUGCAAACUGGAUUUGCACGCCUGCGAGCUCAAUUUUGCGAGAAAAAUCUCACACUUGCAGCCUUCACUUAGCUACCCAGUUUUUGCAUCUGUGAAUAGUGCACACACACCUGCGAUGUCACUUCUGCGAGCCAAGAAGCACACUUGUGAAGGCCUCCACAUCUGCGCCUUCAUUUUCUGAUCAUGCGAUCACCCAGGUGCAGGAAAUAAUUUUCACUUGCGACCACUGCCCAGUCCUUCCCAUUUUCUCUUCUGCGAUCUCGCACCUGCGACCAAAUCCAUCGCAGGUGCGAUCGUACUAGUGACUGCCAAAAACCAGCCUUAACAAAAGUUUCAAAAUGAUUUGAACCCCGUUCGAAACUCAUCCGAGCUACUCGGGACCCGUAUGAAUAUAUAUAAGUCCCAUAAUAUAACAUAGCCUACUCGAGGCCUCAAAUCACAUCAAACAACAUCGAAAUUACGAAUUUCACCUUGAAUCAGACUCAUGCAUUUUCAAAUCUUCCAACUUCUAUAAUUUGUGCCGAAACAUAUCAAAUUGAUCCGUAAUAACCUCAAAUUUUGUACACAAGUUAUAGAUAAUAUAACGAAGCUUCCGAAAUUGAAAUCCGAGGCCGAUAUCAUCAAAGUCAACUCCCGGUCAAACCUGUGAAUACUUCAAAACUUUAACUUUCUAAUUUUUGCCAAAAUGCUUCGAUUUAACCUAAGGACCUCCAAAUCCAAAUCCGGACACACGCCUAAGUACUAAAUCAUCAUACAAAGCUAUUGGAAUUAUCAAAGCACCAUUCCGAAGUCGUCUAUACAAAAUUCAAAUUUUCGGUCAACUAUUUUCACUUAAGCUUCUAAAACAAGAAUUGUUCUUUCCAAUUGAUCCCAAAUCAUCCGAAAUUCAAACUUGACCAUGCAUGCAAGUUAUAAUACAUUAUACAAAGCUGAUCGAGGUCUUAAGCCACUGAACGUGAUGCUAAUUUCCAAUAUGACCAGUUGGGUCGUUACAUUCUCCUCCACUUAAUGUAACAACCUGGUCAUUCGUUCUGAGAGUUAUAGCCCUAUUUCCCCCCAUCUAUUAAUAUUUAUGUGUUGUUCAGCUGUGUUGAGUUGUAUCAAGCUGCUAGGUUUGGCUUCGGAGUAGUUUUGGAGUGAAUGAUCACUUAGUCUCUUAGCUAGAAAGCUAAGUUAGAAAAGUUAACCGGAAGUUAACGUACGAGUAAACAAAUUCGGAUUUGGAUUUUUCUGAUUUGAUUAGCUUCAUUGUGUGAUCUAAGACUUAAGAGUGUGUCUGGAAUGUAAUUUGGGAGUCUGUAGUAGAAUUAGACUUGAAUUGGCUAAAGUUAGAAAUUUGGUAAUUUUCGUCGGCAACGAAAAAUUAGGUAUCAUGGUCAGAAUAGAAUUCCAGAUGUUGGACUAGGUUUGUAGUGUCAUUUGUGAAGUGUGUGAAACAUUUGAGGUCAUUCAAACGUGGUUUGAUAGGUUUCAGUGUCGUUGGCGAGUUUUGAAAGUUUAGAAGUUCUUAGGCUUGAAUCUGAGGUUGAUUUGGUGUUUUGGUAUCUUUUAGGUGUUCCGAAGGUUCGACUAAGUUUGGGUAGUGAUAUAUGACUUGUUAGAAUUAUUGGUUGAGGCCCCUAGGGCCUCGGGUGAGUUUCGGGGAGGUUUGGGUUGUGUUGCGCUCGUUUUUCUUAUGUUUCGACGUCGUUUCUUCAAGCAUAAAUGAUAUCAUAUUAAACAAAUAAGCUCCAACUUCUUUUUUUAUGAUUGAUUAGAUCCAUAUCGUAUUACAAACCUGUAGCAAAAAGAAUCGUUGAAUUUGGACAUUUUAUGGGGAGUUUAUGAUCAUUUUACUAAGAAUAAGAUUGCCAUAUUUUUCAGAUUUAUUAUGGAAUUGUCACAGACGACGUAUUUAAAAAUUUGCACUAUUUGCAAAUAUUGAAACUAACAUAUCUCCUUCAUUAUAAGUUCAAAUUGAGUGAUUCAAGAGCCUAACUUGACUAGAAUUUUACAAGAAAUCCAUUGAAGAAAUAAAAACCGAGUUUAGGAAUUGUUUAGCAUGAGAAACGAGGCAGAAUAGCUCACAAAACAUAUACAAACCAAGGGUUUAUUUAUUCAGUCAUAUUUUGAGUAGGGCAACCAGAUUUGGGCGAUUUUGGAGGCUAUUUUUACCAUAGGGGUUGGGGUAAGUGUUCUCUACUCCGUUUUUGUUAUAUUUCAUGAAUCCAUCUUCAUUUUUGGGAUUUGAUUGAUUAUUUCAAGGCUUGAGUUUUGGAGAGUUUUAGGUAGGGAUUUUGAGGGACCAAACGGAGUCCGAUUUUGAUAAAUUUUAUAUGGUUAGACUAGGGAGAGGACGAGAUUUAUUAUUCUACUAUUUUUGACUGAUUCCGGGACAUGGGCUCAGGGCCGAGUUUUGGCCAAUUUCGGAUUUUUUGCUUGUUUAUAUAGUUUUUAUUGUGGAAUUCGAUUCUUUAUCCUAUGUUGAUAGUCUUAUUUUGAUUAUGGAUAGAUUUGGAGCUCUUGGAGACCGAGUAGAGGGAUGAGGAUAUCCUAAAGUAGGAUUUUACGCUGUUAAAGUAAGUAACAAUUUUAACUAUAGCUUUGAGGGUUUACCCAAGAAUUUGAUGUCACAUGACUGUUCGGAGGUGAUACCUACGCUAGGUGACAUGCGUGUGGGUGCAUACCUCAAGGGAUUGAGACUUGGUCUGUCCCAUGAGGAUUUGAGGCCAAUAACUAUUAUUUGUGUUAAUGCAUUUACUUGUUAGUGAACUUGUUUGCCCUCAUAUUAGAAAUCAUGUUUAGGCUUCAUUCAUGCUCACGUUAUUUGUACUCAAUCAUAGAAAUUAUCGUACAUGUUUAUCUGAGUCUCUAAUAUUUUGCUGAUAUUUUGUGAUACUUGAUGUGGGUUGUGUCCCCAUAUUGGUAGUGCAUUGUGAAGCUAGAGAGGUACAUGGCUAAGUGAGGUCAAGGGUCUGGUUGUGAGGAUAUUAAUGCCAUAGCACGUGAGUUGUUCGUGUAGCACGUGAGCUGACCCUACGAGUCGAGGUAUUGAUACCAUAGUGCGUGAGUUGUUUGCGUAUCAUGUGAGCUGACCAUGCAGAUCCAGGUUUGUAUUAGAGCCUAGGUUACACAGGUCAUGCGAGUCAUGAUCAGGUUUAGUGGAGUCGUGCGGAUCGGUACAGAGACGUGUGUACUUAUCUUCGAGAGGCUACAGAACCUUUAGGAAAACUUCACCAUCUUUAAUUCUUAUCAUGCAUUAUUGAUUCAUCUUGAAGUGUAACUCUGUGAAUCUCUUCCAUGCAUUUGUAUGUGCACAUGAGCGCUCGGUAUCGGUUGUGCAUCAACGGUUUACGAUUUCCUGGAUGAUCUGCGAGAUGUAAUUAUGUGUGGUGAUUUUGGGCCAGCCUGGAGGACUUGAGGCGGGAUUUGACUGUAGAUUGAGCAUUGAGGUGUUGAUUGUGUGAGCACAUGUUUUUGUACCUACAUGUCUGACAUGAUCCUUAUUAGUGGAAAUGGUAGCUGGAUGGGUACAUGAUGAGUUUGAUGUGACCUUGAGAUAAGUUCAUAUGAUUUGAAUGUGACGAUAAGGUAUUGGUGAAGGUUUCACCUACUUGAGACUCCAGGUAUUUUCAGACUCGUUCGAGGACGAACAUUUGUCUAGGGGGAAGGAUGUAAUGAUCCGGUCAUUCGUUCUGAGAGUAUUAGCCCCAUUUCCACCAUCUAUGCUUAUUUAUUUGUUUUUCAGUUGUGUUAAGUUGUAUCACGUUGGUAGGUUUGGGUUCGGAGUAUUUUUGGAGUGAAAUUAUCACUUAGUCUCUUAGUUAGAAAUCUAAAUUAGAAAAGUUAAUUGGAAGUUGACUUGUGAGUAAACGAAUUCGGAUUUGCAUUUUUAUGAUUCGAUUAGCUUCAUGUGAGAUUUUAAACUUAGGAAUGUGUCUGGAAUGUAAUUUGGGAGUCGAUGGUAGAAUUUGGCUUGAAUUGGCAAAAAAUAGAAAUUUUGCGAUUUUGGUUGGCAAUGAAAAAUUAGGUAUUGAGGCUGGAAUAUAAUUCCAGAAGUUGCACUAGGUUUGUAGUGUAAUUUUUGAAGUUUUUGCAAAAUUUGAGGUCAUUCAGACGUGGUUUGAUAGGUUUCGGCGUCAUUGACGCGUUUUGGAAAUUUAGAAGUUCUUAGGCCUGAAUCCGAGGUUGAUUUGGUAUUUUGGUAUUAUUUUAGGUGUUUCAAAGGUUCUACUAAGUUUGGGUAGUGAUAUAUGUCUUGUUGGAAUUAUCCGUUGAGGUCCUGAGGACCUCGGGUGAGUUUCGAAGAGGUUUGGGUUGUGUUGCGCUCGUUUUUAUUAUGUUUCGACAUCGUUUCUUCAGGCAUAAACGUUAUCAUAUUAAACAAAUGAGUUCCAAUUUUUUAUUUAAGUAUUAUAUCCAUAUUGUAAUUACAUACCCAUAGCAAAAAGAAUCAUCGAAUUUGGACAUUAUAUGAGCAUUUUAUGGUCAUUUUACUAAGAAUUAGGUUGCCAGAUUUUUCAUAUUUAUUACGGAAUUGUCACAAACGGCGUAUUUAAAAUUUUUCACUAUUUGUAAAUAUUGAAACCAACAUAUCUCCUUUAUUAAAAGAUCAAAUUGAGUAAGCCUAACUUUACAAUAAUUUCACAAGGAAUCCAUUGAAGACAUAAAAAGCGAGUUUCAGGAUUGUUUGGCAUAAAAAACGAGGCAGGAUAGCUGGCAAAGUAUAUAAAAUAAGGUUUGUUUAUUCAGUCAUAUUUUGAGUUGGGGAGCUCAGAUUUGGAUAAUUUUGGAGGCGAUUUUCACCAUUGGGAUUGGGGUAAGUGUUUGCUACUCGGUUUUGGUUAUAUUUCAUGAAUCUAUUUUUCGUAUUUGGGAUUUGAUUGAUGAUUUUAAAGUGAAAUUGAGGGAGUUAGGGCUUGAGUUUUGGAGAGUUUUAGGUAGGGAUUUGAGGGACCAAACAGAGUCCAAUUUUUAUAAAUUUUAUAUGGUUAGACUCGAGGGAGGAUGAGAUUUAUUAUUCUACUAUUUUUGACUGUUUUGAGACGUGGGCCCAGGGGCCGAGUUUUGGCCAGUUUCAGAUUCUUUUUGCUCUUUAUAUAGUUUUUAUUGUAAAAUUCGAUCAUUUAUAAAAUGUUAAUAGUAUUAUGGAUAGAUUCCGAGCUCUUGGAGACCGAGUCGAUGGACGAGAACAUCACGGAGUAGGAUUCACGGUGUUAAGGUAAGUAAUGAUUUUAACUCCAGCUUUGACGGUAAAAAACCAGAGAAUUUGAUGUCGGUGACUGUUCGGAUGUGAUACCCAUGCUAGGUGACAUGCGUGUGUAUACCUCAAAGGAUUGAGACUUGGUCUGUCUUAUGAGGUUGUGAGGCCUAAUAACCAUUAUUUGUGUUUAUGCAUUUACUUGUUGGUGAACUUAUUGCAUUCUUGUUAGAUUUCAUGUUUAGGCUUUAUUCACGCUCACGUUAUUUGUACCCAGUCAUAGAAAUUAUUGUACAUGUUUGCCUUAGUAUUUAUUAUUUUGCUGAUAUUUUGUGAUACUUGAUGUGGGCUCUGUCCCCUUAUUGGUGGUGCAUUUUUAGGCUAGAUGGUACAUGACUGAGUGAGGCAGAAGGCCUGGUUGUUAGGAUAUUAAUGACAUAGCGCGUGAGUAGUUCGCAUAGCACGUGAGCUGAUCGUGCGGGUUCAGAUAUUGAUACCAUAGUGUGUGAGCUGACUGUGCGGAUCCAGGUAUUGAUGUUUUGGCACGCGAGCAUUCCGUGCUUAGAACUUGGGCUUUGGGAGCCCAUCCGGAGUCUGUACACACUCCUAGUGUGUGGAGAGUGUUGAGUGUUUUAAGUGUGUUGAGUGUUGAGUGUGAGUGAUGAGUGAUGGGGUGACACUGCCGUGAGGUUGUAUUUAUUUGUGUUGUUGCUGCAUUUAUUUGUUAAAUUUCUUUGUGGCAUUUUCUGAGUUAUAGAAUUUACCUGUUUAUUUCUAUUAUUUUUUUAAAUCGUGAAAAUAAAUAAUUGGACUAUUUUACUUAGCUCAUAAUUACUGCUCAGUUUUUUAGUUAUUUCUGUUACUGCUGAGUCGAUUGUACACAUACCCUACACUUUAAGUGCAAAUCCAGGUGAUUUAGAGCGCGACGAUCGUUGAGUUCAGGCCGGCUAUCUGUGGAGAUUGCAAGGUAGUUUCUAGUGUCUGUAGGACCUUGUUACUCCUCUUAUCAUUUCUUCUUUCGGACGUUUCGACAAUUUAUGUAUUUUACUUUAUUAUUUUAGACGCUCAUGACUUAGUGACACCCUGAUUUUUGGGGCUCGUUUCCGUAUUAGUCUAUAUCAUAUUCAGAGUUGAUUUAGUUUAUAAAAAAUUUAAAUGUUGAAAUUAUUUUAUUAAUUUCUUAUACUCGGUUUAGUAGUAAUAUUUUGAGAAGUAGGCUUGCCUUGUAACACGAUAGGCGCCAUCACGACCAUUAGAUUUUGGGUCGUGACACUUAAACAUACAUUCGUCCACGAACAUGCCAGGAGUUAUUAUAAAAUUGUCGAAUCAUUGUGUAACCUUACUAUGUGCAUACUCGAGAUUGAUACCAUUUCACCCUGACCUAUGUAAACCUGACCACACGACAUAAUUGAAGACCACUAUCUUUGACCUUAGCCCAUAAACCUUGAAAUCAAAUUUCCAACAUCCGAAAUUCCUUAUAACCCUCAAAUUUUGCAUUCACACUCUUUAUGAGUCUGAACAAUCCAUAUCGUGCCAUAAUUCUAAAUCCUAGGGUCACAAUGCUUCCCAUGAUAGAAGAAACAAGCAGAUUCUCAUAACCUCCCAAGGAAUCAACAAGCCAAAAAGCUCCCUUGUCCGUCAAUGGCUAUCGCCAAUUUGAGCAAAAAUAACAUCCUCCUUCCCAACACUCCUCAUCCCAAUACGAUAGUGCAACUCUCAUGUCUAGAAAUAUCAUCUCAGCCAAUACCAUCAACCCAACUGACAAUUCACCCAAGACCACAUGAAUCCUCACACAACACGGUUCGUACACCAAACCAACAAUAACUCAGAUAUGCAGGAGAAUAGAAGGAAAGAAAGGCACGAGGACUGUCUAAGUAUUGAAAAUAUCAAAACGAAAGUAUAGUUUCAUUAACACAUCCCACAAAGGGAAAAUAAAAUACCAAAUAAACACAAGGAAAGGGUAUUUCACAUAAUACCCGCUGCAGUGCGCAGUCCACUCCCAAAUAUAUCAUUCCACAUACGAAUACACAUUGAUCCCAAGUGCUCUGUUUCAAGUAAUCACAUGAAUUCCAUAUCAAAUACAAUACAGUGUACAAAAAUAACCGUGGGAAAAAUAAACAUAAAUAAUACAACAUGGAGGAAAGAAAGCACAACUAUGGAGUAAUGAGCAAAUCAACAUUACGAGGGUCAUAUUGCCCAUAUCACCACAAGGACUGAAUAGAAUUAUAACACACGUGAAAAUAAUCAUAUAACCUCACAGUCCAUCAAGUAUAAUAGAGGAGCACAUAACAUAGACCGAAGCACAAUUAAUCUGCCCGGUAAUAUGACCAUGAUAUUAACUCCACAAGAAUACCCAAACCUAAUCCAGUAUAGAAUACACAUUCUCUCUGGGCUUUCAAAUUGCCCCCAAACCAAUUUCGGCUAUUACCAAACAGGUAAAAAUCAUUCCAAAAGUCCAUAGCAAUCUAUACAUAAUGAAUGCCAUCAGUUAUUCCAUCCUCUAAAUUUCUUCACAAUCCGCAAUUAAGAUAUAGUCUGCCUACGAGGACAUCCAACUCUAAACCCUCAUGAAUACUAGAAUGUCCAGUCUCGAUCUCCACUACAAAUAUGCUACUCAAAUGGAUAAUACAUCACUCACACUCUAUCAUCUUACAAAAAUACCCACACAGAUCUUUCAUAUCGCGUAAUAAAACCUAAACUUCAGAAGCCUUCAGAACUCGAAAAUCACUAAGCCAAGCAUCCGAAACUCAAAUAACAAGGUGUUUUCCUAAAAUGCACGCUCUUCACAUGCGAUAUCCAAUGAUGCUAACAUUCUAUUAACUUCGGAUAUCCAUCCUGAAGAAAACCAUAAUGCACAAUAUAUUCCUUACGUCCGUAGCAGACAACCAAUUCAAGCUGUGGUCAAAAACAUUGAGAACUCUCUGAGGUUCAUCCGCAUAUACCUAAGCUAUCAAGACCAGAUCUCCCAACUUAAUGAGUCAGGCAGACUGUCUCACCAAGAGUAAUGCCACAAACAUUGGUAGAAAGUUACCACCCAAUAAAAGCCAAUUACUUUCGUUGCUAUUCUGAUCCAACACCGUUGAGCUGACCCAUUUAUUCAGAUACCCCUCAACUUUUCAUUGGGAUAAUAUUUCUCCCUUUUUAUACUCAACAAUCCCAAAAGUAAAGCUCAAUACAGACAAAUCUUAGUACGAACCACGUAACCUAUAAGCUCUUCAACCACCAUAUUUCCUCUGAAUCACCCCAUAAUGUCAUAGAUGAGACGUCCAUGCUGAAGAGGCCUUUUCUGAAUCUGAAGUAUUUUCUCUGAUCCCUCUAAAUCUGAAGUGUAGAUUAUUAAUGAAGAAAAAAUACCGCAAGUCCCAGCACUAUCCCAUGCAAAUCCCAGAUCUUAGCCAUAUACAAAUUUCAGGGUAUCUUUCAAUACUAUAUACAUACACCUUAAGCCUAAACUGAUAUAGCACCUAACCUUGCAAUCUGCUCGUCGAUUGUUAACUCCCUCACUUGGAACGAAUCCAUAGGAAACAAUCCGAUGAUCAACAAUACUAAUCUUUACCAUUCAUACAACAUCAAUUAUAAGACAUCUCAAGUCAUUUGCUAAGCGACAUGUUCAUCCUUGUGACAUUCAAACUUGCUUCUUCUAGUGCCUUGAAUGCUAGUAUGUACUUUCCACUAAGUGAAAUUCUGUAUAAACCACAUAGUCGAUAUUACCACCAACUAUCCUCAUAUAAACAUUCACUUUGCAACCCUGCCACGAUCCCAACAUAUAGGCAGCCAAUUAAACCUUCUUGAGAUCGUGCUUAUCAACUAGAUGCUAGAACCUGUUUCACCACCAUGUGAACUACAUAAUGAUCAAUGUUACAUCUAGCAUUUUUGUAUAUUUUCAGUUAACCGACGUGGACUCAGAGAUGAGAUCAUAUUCACGUUAACAUAGUUAUGCUAUAUAUAACAAGCGAUAAAUAAGUGUUAUGCAGGAUAUAGGGGUACACGAACUAAAGAAAAUGAGUUUCGUUGAAAGUGGCCAAUUUAGGAUAAAAUAUGGGUCGAGCGAUAAUACUCAGUUCAUGCAAGAUACCAUAUGACCACAGUAGUAUACUAUAUAAAGUAUAUUAAAAAUAAAUAAAAUUUUAAGUAAUUUGUAGCAAUUCUUAAAUAUGAGAGUAAUUGGUUAAUUACCGAAUAGCAAGACUGUACCCGAUUAAUUAAUAAGUGGAAAAAAAUUAAUAAAAAAUCUAUCCUCCAAAAAUGUGACAAUUGGCUACAAUGACCCCUUCGUCAUUGAAUAUAUGGCAACCAAGGAUCAAAGCAAAAGACACCUCAUACUAGCAUUUAUAUAUCAUCCAAAAUAGUAGUGAUUUUUACUACAAUUAGAAGACUAGAAAAGUACUCUUAAACAAAGGCUGACGCUGCCACUUUCCAAAAAAACAAAACAUUGCAAAUUUCAAUUUCAAUUGAAGAUUUGAUCUAAAUGCUCCAUUAAACCAUGAGAAAUCUUGCAAGGUUCCAACGAGAAUUUUAGGCAUCGUAGCAACGUAAAAUUUUGCGGGUCUAAAGGAGUAUGGUAGAAUGUUUUUCAAGAAUAUUAUACAGAGUUUUCCAUAUUCCAGGCAUGUUAAGGCCCUUCCUUCAUUUUUUUUUGGCAUGAUCUAAAUUAUAUUGAAGAAACGAACAAAUACAUAAUUUUUAUAAAUUACUCUAUUCAUAGAAUUAUUAAGGGUGUCUAUAUUCUUGAUUCACCAUAAAAAUUAUUAUUAUUAUUUUGUUCAUGGGUCUUAUAAUAAUGCACAGUUGGAAAAGUUUAUCCGGAAGGAAUAUCGAGAUAAUUAUGUAUAUUUCAGGCAUUUCACUAUUAUACAUCUACAUUGACCCAUGACCAGAUGGCGUUAUAUACGUGUAUAUAUGUAUAUAUGUAAAUAUAGGUAUAUGUGAUAUGAGAAAAGGUUACGGCGUUACAUACGCACCACCACCUGAUCAGCUAAUAUAUGAUGAUGAUGAUGUUGCCCACAGUGGCUGAAAUAUAAUUCAAACGAAGUUAUAUAUGAUUAUAUAUGUAUGUCUAUGAAUAUGAGAUAUGGAAAGAGGUUAUGACAUUAUAGUGCACCAUCAUCUUAUCAGCUGGUAUAUGUUAAUGAUAUUGCCCAUAGUGACUGAGAUGAUAUGAUGGGAUGCCUUUAGUGGCUUGAUGAUAUUACGUAUACUCAUACCUAUGCAUGGCAUGACAUUUAAACGUAUGUGCAUGACGUUAUAAACGUUUUAGAAUUUAUAAAGUAUUCAGAUUUAAAUAUAUUUUUCAGUAUCCCGUGUUUCAUCUAUGUCUUUUACGUACUAAUUUCCAUACCUUACAUACUCAAUACAUUUUUUCGUAAUGACUCCGUGUUUUACUGGGCCUGCAUUUAACGCCUGUAGGUGCAGGUAGACAAGCUGACAGUCCUCCUUCUUAGUAUUUUAAAUCAGCAAGAGUUGGCGUGCUCCACUUGAUCCGGUUGGAUUGUACAUGGCCUUGUCGGCUUUCAGUUUUGGUUGUAUAAUUGUCUAUAGCAGACUUGCCGGCUUGCCCACUGUAUUCUGCACGUAUACGUACAUAUGCCUUGAUGGAAGAUUUUCUUUACGUAUGUUAUUUUCGUAAUGCAACAAAUGUUAUACAGGUUCAUAUCUUAGACACAUGCUUAGGGGUGUUUGAUAUAUAGAACUCAGGCACCUGUCGCGACCCAUCGGUUUGGGUCGUGUAUGAUAUUGUGCAUUCAGUAUCAGUUGUGCACCGCUGGUUCACGAUGCUGCGAAUGGGUUAGGAGGGAGACAGAGAUGCUCAAACAUUGUCUCACAUGUUAUCCAAACAUGGGAUGAAGAGGUAUUGUGUCACGACCCAAACCGAUGGGUCGCGAUAUAUAUAUAUAUAUAUAUAUAUAUAUAUAUAUAUGUGUGUGUGUGUGUGUGUGUGUGUGUUUCAAGCUGAAUCAAUGUCGCAUGAUAAGGAAUAAAAGAAGUGGAAUUUCCUUAUAGUUUCUAUAGUCUCUCGAAGAUAAGUACAGACAUCUCCGUAUCGAUCUGCAAGACUCUACUAAAUUUUCUUAUGACUUAUAGCACCUAUGAGCCUAGAGAUCUUGUUGGCCCAAGUUCAUUUGGAGUUUUGAAGAUUGACAAAGGAACUCUGGGAAGGACCUGGUCAAUCUUGAGAGACAUAGUUAAUCAUAACCAUUGCACAUGGAAGGCAUGUGAGGAAGAUAUGUAUUGAAGAUUACACAACAAAUAUCUUCUGAAUGGAAUGGAAAAAAUUGUAUUGAGUUCUAAGGAGGACAGUCUCCUUAUGAUAAGCGAAUACAAUCCUAAGCUAGGAUAAGGAUGGGAGUUUGUAUUGGUUAAGAACUCAAAUCGACAAAGGAUAAGCAUUGGAGUCUCGAUCAAACUCUAAAUACUAAUCUAUUAAAUAACUAAGUUGUUCUCUUUUACAUGUAAUACACAUACGCAGAAGUUAAUCAUAUUUGAGAGCAAAAAGAACAAGUCUAAUUUACGAGCAAUAUAUGUGAGAUACAAGUGUGCACGUCUGAAGCUAAAUGAACUAAGAUAGAAGAACCAGUUUUAUCAGUGUGUUUAUUCUUAGUCUAGUUCAAUUGUAGUAUGUUUUUAUAUUGUACCUUUCAGCUUUCUUAGAAGCAAUUGUAUUAGGUACUCUGAGUAUUCAAGUUAGAUUUAACUUGAAAGUGUCGCAGCAGUUGAGGCUGUGUGCCACACUGGGAUUAGAGUUAAUCCUUAGGUUUACAAAGAGUUUUGUAAAUGCAGUUUUUGGCUCAGUGAUUUUAGUGGAGUUUGGAAAAAUUCUACUGAGUAGUAGGUCGUGGUUUUUUUCACCUUCUGAGCCAGGUUUUUUCCACGUAAAAAUCUCUGUGCACUUUACUUUCAGUAUUUAUUAUUCCGCAAACUCUUGUAGCUAGAACACUUAGAAGAACCAGGUUCUUCUAAUGCGAAAAUUAGGUACCAAACAAAUCACCUCCCUUCUUGUGUGGUAUUGACGUUUAUAACAUAAAUUGAUAUCAGAACCAGGUUAUCCUUGAAGACGUUAAACAUUAGGAAAAGAUCAACAUGAGUGCACCACCUGGGAACUAGGAAGGGCAAUCCACUGCCAGGCCUUCUCUCUUCAAUGGCCUCUACUACUCCUGGUGGAAAAAUAGAAUAAGGGAUUAUAUCAUGGGUGAAGACUAAGAGCUUUGGGACAUCAUCACUGAUGGUCCUUUAGCCACAACCAAGAAGAGUGCUGAAAUAUUGGAUGUUCCAAAGACAACAGGCAGAUUGUACUGCUGAAGAUCUAAGGAAGUGGGAAAAAAAUGCAAAAGCCAAGAAAGGGUUACUGUGUGGACUUUGCCCUGAUGAGUACAACAUGAUUCAAGGUUGUACUACUGCCAAGGAGUUUUAGGACACUUUACAAGUGGCUCAUGAAGGAACACCUCAGGUGAAGAGGUCAAGAGGAACACUGCUGUAUUCUCAAUAUGAGAAUUUUACUAUGAAGGAUGGAGAAACUAUCCAAGAGUUGUAUACCAUGUUCACUAUACUAAAAAUGAACUUGAGUCUCUUGGAAAGAUUAUCCUGGAAGAAGACAAGGUGGAGAAGAUUCUAACUAGAGUUCUGCCAAUCUCCUGGGAAAGCAAAACCACUGCUACUUAGGAAUUCAAAAAUAUUGCUACUUUAUAAUUGGAUGAGCUGAUUGAAAAUCUUACUGCCUAUGAAUUGAGAAGUCAGACAAUGAAGAUGGAUGCUCCAAAGAAAAAAAGAAAUCCGGCUCUCAGAAUCUUAUAAGGAUCAGAUCUUGAAGAUGAUGAAAUGGAUAUGAUAACCAUAGAUUUCAAGAAAUGUCUUAUGAGAGGAAGGAUUCCUUCAAAAGGAACAACAUUCAACAAACCUAGGGCUUCUGAGAAACAAACCAAUAAGGGAUGUUAUAGGUGUGGGAAGACUGAUCACCACAUCAGAAACUGCCCUCAAUGGGAGGUUGAAUAGAAGAAAGAAAGAGCAGAUAGAAGAAAUAGGAGGAAGGAACAGGUUCAACCAAGAAGGAACAAAUGAUCAACUAAAGCUAUGGUUGCUGCAUGGGGAGAAACAUUAGAUGAGGACUCAGAAAAUGAAGUUGAAGAUGAGCAAGCUCUUAUUGCCAUUGGAGAAUCAGAAGAUGAACAGGAGGUCCAAGUGAAGGUGAGUAGCCAAAUGUGGUACAUGGAUAGUGGCUAACAUAUGACUAGUAACAAGGACCAUUUCCUUUCACUUGAGAACCUAAAAAGAGGUAAUGUCUUCUUUAGAAAUGGAAAGAAAAGUGAGAUCAUUGGAGUUGGAAAUGUAGGAAAGAAAGAUUCUCAUUCCAUUGAGAAUGUCUUUUUGCUAGAUGGCUUAAAAUAUAGCCUAAUAAGUGUGUCACAACUGUGUGACAGAGGUAACCUUGUGGCAUUCACUUCCACAAAUGUUUUGUGAUUAGCUUUACUACUGACAAGAUUGUUUGAGGGAAGGAGAGUUAACAAUAGUUACAUUGUAGAUCUGUCAAAUCUCUCUGAAAAUGAACUCGCUUGCUUGAGUGUGUUAAUUAAUGAUCCCCUCCUUUGGCACAAAAGACUUUGCCAUGCCAGUCUAAAUCAAUUGAACAAAUUAGUCUCCAAGGACUUGGUGAUAGGGUUACCUAAUACCAAGUUUAAGGAAGACAAAGUUUUUGAGGCAUGUGCAAGGGGGAAGCUGGUAAGGUUAUUCAUCAAACCCAAGAAAUGGUAAGUACAUCCAAGACGUUGGAAUUGGUUCAUAUAGAUCUCUAUGGUCUAAUAAAAGCCAUGAGCAUAGGUGGUAAAAGAUAUGUAAUGGUACUUGUUGAUGAUUAUUCUAGAUUUAACUGGGUGUUGUUUCUAACUUCAAAAGAUGAAGCAUUUGAAAUGUUCACUGCUUUUGUUAGAAAAACCCAGAAACAAUUAGGAAAUUAACUUGCAUCCAUUAGGUCUGAUCAUGGAACUGAAUUUAAAAAUGCAAAGUUUACUAAAUUUUGUGAUGAAAAUGGAGUAGAUCAUAAUUUCUCUGCCCCUAGGACUCCUAAGCAAAAUGGGGUAAUUGAGAGAAAGAACAGGACCCUUGAGGAAAUGGCAAGGACCCUGUUUCUUUCCAGUAAACUACCUCAUAGCUUCUGGGCAGAGGCUACAAACACUGCUUGUUAUAUAAUAAAUAGAUGCAUGACAAGAACUCUUGUGGAGAAAAUUUCCUAUGAGUUACUUAAAGGGAGAAAACCAAACAUAUCCCAUCUUAGGGCUUUUGGUUGCAAGUGAUAUGUACACAAUAAUGGCAAAGACUCCCUAGGUAAGUUUGAUCCCAGAAGAGAUGAGGGUGUAUUCUUGGGAUAUUCUUCACAUAGCAAAGCGUAUAAAGUGUUUAAUAAAAGAACUCUGUGUGUUGAAGAAAAGUGUACAUGUUGUGUUUGAUGAAUCUAACACUCUUUCUGAGAGACAGGAACAUGAAGAUGAAUCCAUUGGUAUGGUGAACCAAUUGACUGAAGCCACAUUACAAGUCAAUGUGGCAUCAAAGGAAGGAGAAGGUGAUAGAAUAAUUCCUUCCAACCAGAGGAACCUGACAGGGGGAACUAAGAGAAACUGAACAAAAUUCUCCGAAGGAUCUUGUACCUAAACCUGUUCCUCUGCAGUAUAGCAAUGAAGAAGCGACUAGCAGAAACCAACUAGUGGGGAAAUCUUACAAGUAUUUGUGUUCUCACCCCAUUGAGAACAUCAUCAAUGAUCCAACAUCUGGAGUCAAGACUAGAUCACAACUGAAGAACAUGUGUGCAUUUGAGGCCUUUCUGUCCCUCAUUGAACCUAAAAAUGUAAGUGAAGCUCUACAAGAUGCAGAUUGGGUCAAUGCUAUGCAACAUGAGCUCAAUCAAUUUGAAAGAAGCCAAGUCGGGCACUUGGUUCCAAGACCUAAGGACAGGUCAGUCAUUGGGACAAAAUGGGUCUUCGGGAACAAACUAGAUACAGAUGAAACAGUUACAAGAAACAAGGCAAGGUUGGUGGUUCAAGGCUAUAGUCAAGAAGAAGACUUUGAUUAUGAUGAGACUUGGACUCCAGUUUCUAGACUUGAAGCAAUUAGACUCCUCAUAGCCUUUGCAGCACAUAUGGAAUUCACUCUUCAUCAAAUGGAUGUGAAAAGUGCCUUCCUAAAUAGCUAUCUCAAAGAAGUAGUAUUCAUGAAAUAACCUCCAUGAUUCAAAAGUAAAGGAUGUCCUGAUCAUAUAUACAAGCUAGAUAAAGAUCUCUAUGGUCUCAAGCGGGCCCCAAGAGCUUGGUAUGAAAGAUUGUCAAAAUUCCUUCUGGAUCAUGGGUACAAAAGAGGUAAAAUUGACAGCACUUUGUUCCUGAGGAAAAAAGGUAAAGAUCUUCUUGAUGUACAUAUAUGUUGAUGACAUAAUAUUUGAGGCCACUACAGAAAGGUUAAGUAAGGACUUGCUAAACUAAUAGGAAGUGAGUUUGAAAUGAGCAUGAAGAGUGAACUCAAUUUCUUAUUGGGGCUACAGAUUAAACAAAGUCCAGAUGGAACUAUGAUCCAUCAGCAAAAGUAUGCAAAGGAACUAAUCAAGAAGUUUAAAAUGGAAGAAUCCAAAGAAAUAGAUACACCUAUAGCAACUGCCACAAAACUAGAUGUUGGUGAACCUGGUUCAUCAGUUGAUCAAAAGUUGUAUAUGGGUAUGAUUGGUUCACUUUUCUAUCUUACUGCCAUCAGACCUAAUAUUAUUUUUAGUGUAGGACUUUGUGCUCGUUUCCAGGCAAAUCCAAAGAAGUCACAUUUGACAGCCGUCAAAAGAAUACUGUUUUUAGUGUAGGACUUUGUGCUCGUGUUUAGGCAAAUCCAAAAGAGUCACAUAUGACAGUGGUCAAAAGAAUAUUGAGGCACUUGAAAUGCACAACUGAUAUGUGUCUGUGGUAUCCCAGAGGUAGUAAUUUUGAAUAAAUUGGAUAUGUUGAUGCUGACUAUGAAGGUUUUCUAGUGGUAGGAAGAGCACUUCAGGUAUAGCACACUUCCUAGGGUCUUCUCUUGUAUCAUGGGCUACCAAAAAGUAAAAUUCAGUGGCUCUCUCUACUACUGAAGCUGAAUAUGUUGUUGCUGCUUCAUGUUGUGCUUAAUUGUUGUGGAUUAAGCAACAACUGGUAGACUUUGGAAUUGAAAUAGGGUGCAGACCAAUAUUUUGUGAUAACCCCACUGCAAUUAGUAUGACAAAGAACCAUGUUCAUCACAAAAGUACUAAGCACACAGAUGUUAGACACCACUUCUUAAGACACAACUGUGAGAAAGGGCUAAUCUCCAUAGAAUUCUAUGCUACUUAUAAACAAAUAACUGACAUCUUCACUAAGGCACUGAGUAGAGAAAACUUUGAAAGGAACAGGUUGGAGUUAGGGAUGAUUAAGAUCACCUAAAAGAUCCAGUUCAAAAUGCAAUGAAAAAAGAAAUAAUAUUUUGGUUAGGAGUUCUUAAUUUUUGUGAAUAUUAGUCUAAUUCCUACUUAGUCUCAUACUGUAAAUAGUAUACUCUUGUGACAUGUGUUUAUGCGAUUCACUAAUCUCUUACAAAUUUUCUAUUUUGACAUUUGAGGAAUAAUCAAGAGAAGUUUCACUUGAAGAACCUGGUUCAUCAAAAUAUGCUCAUGAGAAAGUUCAGGUAUGUUUCUAUACUUUGCACGAUUAGAAAAAUUUAAUUAUAAAUCAUGAGCAAAAGUCCUAGAUAUACCAAACGUCUUAACAAUUUUAUCCGUUGGGAAAAUUGAACCAGUAUCAUUGAUACAAUUAGAAAAAGUUAGUUAUCAAUCGUGAGAAAGAGUGCUAGAUAUACCAAACGUCCUAACGAUUCUAUCCUUUGGGCAAAUUGAACCAGUUUCAUUGAAACUAGACGUCUAAGUAUAACAGAACCCUCUCCUAAAUUUUAGUUAUCCUAAUUAAUCUCUAAGGAGACCGGAACUAUAAAUUGAUUAGACCUCUACGUGACCUCUGGAAAAGCUGCCAUUUGUGAGUAAUCAUUACCCUCUUUAAAAAUCCCAAAACUCUCAAUAACCAUCAAUUUUCCACAAAGCCCUUGAUCAUCCUCUCUCGUCUCUAAAACUCUCCAAAAUUCUUCACAUCACCAAAAUUCCUUUAGGGUCUUCAGAAAUUCUUCACCACAACAAAUCCUGAAGACAAUCCUGGCACUCCACCACCUGUUUCACCCAACACCCCAUCUUCCAUACCACCAGUCAAAAAAUACCAAAACCUAGAUUUCGUCCCCAGAAAAUGCUAGCAAGAAAAACUAUGGCUACUGGUUCUCUGAGGAAAUCUUUGAAUGAAAAACUUCAGUCCAGUCAAAAGAAAGCAGUCUCAGCAGAAGAGACCAACUCUAGCUCUGAACCUAAUGAUUACAUCUCUGCAGUGAAGGAGAUGAACUUGGGUCUUUUAAAAAAGCCAAAACUCAAGAAACCCAAGGAGAGGUAAAGUCUUACUUUGUUUUUUCUGAUAUAGUUCAGAUGGAGGAAAAUAGAUUUAUUCUGAUAGGGGCUGCUAGAGAUGUAGGUGGGAUUGAUUCAGGGAAAAUAAGAAGAAAAAGAAGAAUGAAUUUUUAGCCAUAUGUGGGAGUGGAGAAGAGGGAGUCUCGAAGUUAGGGGGAAGUGGAAGAUCAGGUAAGGUUGCUUAGGGUUUAGUUAAUCUGAGCAAACAACAAGAUAAAUCUAAUUCAUCUGGGGAAGAGAGCUUGAAUGAAUUGUUAAAGAAAGUGGGCCAUGACCCAAAGAAACGCAAGGCUUCCUCUCAAAGGACUCUUGUUGCGUCCAAACCAAUCAAGAAAAGCAAACCAUCAUCACCCAAAUAUGCUCCUAGGAUUAGAGCUACCAGAAAUAGGAUUAGGGAAAGUGAAGCAGAGUUGAAAAAGCCUUUAGAAGAAAGUAAGAAAAAGAGGAAAGAAAAAGGGAAAGUAAAGAUAGGUGAAAUCUCGGAGGCUGUGGUUGAAGAGGAAGAAGAAGAGAUGGAGCAGGUCCAUCUAUAAAAGAGUACUACUGUGUAUGUUCCCACUACAAAAUCAAGGGAACCACGUCCUCUGCCAAAAAGCCCUCCAAACCAGUACCUGCUAAACCUGUUCUUGCCAAGAGAACAAGGUCAACUGCAAAAGGAAAACAAGUGAAAAUUAUUGAAGAAGAGGAUUAUGAAUGGAGUGAGGAUGAAUAAUAUGAGUUAGAGAAGGAAAAUGACAGAUAUGCCAAGUUUAGCAGGAGGAAAAUCUUGAAAGGGAGACUACUCAAAGACCUGGAGGAGCCAGGUAUGAUGAGGCUUGUGACUGCACUAGAAGCACAGGGGUGGAAGGACAUGAUCCUUCAUAUGGAUGGUAAAUUUGCCAGAAAAGAACUUGUAAAGUUCAUGGAAAAUGGGAAACUGAAGAAUGGGCUAGUGACUAGCAUAGUGAAUAGGGGUGGAAGGACAUGGUCCUUCAUAUGAAUGGUAAAUUGGCUAGGAAAGAACUUGUAGAGUUCAUGGCAAAUGGGACAGUGAAGAAUGGGUUGGUGACUAGCAGAGUGAAAGGUGUCAAAGUGAAGUUCAAUGCUGCAAAGCUGUGCAAGAUUCUAGACAUCCCUAGUGAGGGAUAUGAUGACUAUACAAGGCAGAGGUGGUCAUGAAUGGAUGUGUUGCCUACUGAUCUACAGAUCACAAGGAAUUUUUAUGACACCACAACAAAUGAAGAGGUACCCGAGGCCAGGGCAGUUCAAAAAAGUGAAAUGAGGUCAGAACACAAAGUGCUUUUUGAUUUUGUCAACAAAUGCCUUUUAUCCAGACAGGGAAAAAGGCAUACAUCACAUUUUAUGGAUCUGGUUCUUAUGCAAUGCCUGAAUGAAGGGAAGCAGAUCAACUGGCAUGCCUUUAUUGUGAAGCUGCUUGAAAGGGUGCUCAAUGGCUCAAAAGCUCAUGUCAUUCCCUAUGGAUUUAUCUUGACAAUUAUGCUCAAAAGAAUGACUGUUCCCCUAAAAAGGUGGGAAAUGGCUUCCAGCAAAGAGCAUUUAGGAAACAAAACCCUUCAAGCCUGUGAUUAUCUGCUCAGUACAGACUCAGUUGAACCUGGUUCUUUGGCAAAGACUCAUGUGAACAGCAAGGUCAGAGCCUUGGCUAAAGAGAUUGGGACAAAGGAUGCUGAGAUAGCAAGGCUUCAGGCCAGAGUUGCUGAAUUGGAGUGAGAAAGGAAUGAGUUGAGAGCUGAACUUGCUAAUGAGAAGGAGAAAAAUGAAGGAAUGCUUCAACAUAUGCUCAAUCUACUACAAACCCAACCCUCCAGCUCUUCUAAGCCUUAGGUGUCAUGUCCUAGUGUAAACCAGUCUAGAGCCCCCUCAGUGACCCAGUUUGGGAUUUUAUCUGUUUAUUUCCUUUUUGCUCAUAGAUUGGUAAAUCUGUUUUUCUUCUUGUGGACUGCUAUGUAGAAACACCUCACUAAUCAAUGAAUGCAGCUUUUCUUUGUUUUUGUUAAUUCUGUUCUUAAUAGUUAUUUUUGAUGAGUUGAUUUUUGAUUAACCAAAGCAUGUGUUCACUUGCAGUUGCCCCAGUGGCCAUGAGUACGAAUUAAAUUACUGGGAUAUAUAUUAGUUAUUCAAAUUUUUGACGAUGCCAAAAGGGGGAAGAUAUUGUGCUUAAAUUCAUUAUCUAAACAAGUGAUGUUUAUGACCUAACUUAAAUCUGGCCCUUUAUGACAAGCUGAACAUUUUCUCUGUAUGACCAGUUGAAAAUUUUCUAAGUGUUUAUAUUUCUGCUGAGUUUCACAGGUUCUUCGAUCACUAAUUGAAAAUUUUCUAAGUGUCGAUAUUUCAGCUGAGUUUCACCGGUUCUCUGAUCACUAAAAUCACAGAGUUUGUCAUCAUCAAAAAGGGAGAAUUUUUUGGCCCAAGUUCAGUUGGAGUUUUGAAGAUUGACAAAUGAACUCAGGAAAGGACCUGGUCCAUCUUGAGCGACACACUUAGUCAUAACCAUUGCACAUGGAAGGCACGUGAGGAAGAUAUGUAUUGAAGGUUACACAGCAAAUAUCUUCUAAACGGAAUCGAAAAGAUUGCAUUGAGUUCUAAGGAGGAAAAUCUCCUUAUGAUAAGAGAACAAAAUCCUAAGCUAGGAUAAAGAUGGGAGUUUGUAUUGGUUAAGGACUCAAAUCGACUAAGGAUAAACAUUGGAAUCUCGAUCAAACUCUAACUGCUAAUCCAUUAAAUAACCAAGUUGUUUUCUUUUACAGGUAAUGCACAUACAUAGAAGUUAAGAAUAUUUGAGAGCAAAAAGAAUUGGAGUCUCGAUCAAACUCUAACUGUUUAUCUAUGAAAUAACCAAGUUGGUCUCUUUUACAGGUAAUGCACAUACAUAGAAGUAAAGCAUAUUUGAGAGCAAAAAGAGCAAGUCUGAUUUGCGAGUAAUAUAUGUGAGAUACAAGUGUGCACUUCUGAAGCUACAUGAACAAAAGGUGAAUUCGAGGCCUUCGAAUGUCGAACAGGUAUACCUUAAAGUCUCCAACAGCGGAUACAUAAGUCUUCAACCAAUUAGAUCAUAAGUACCUGAAUCUGCAGAAAAAUAUAUAGAAAUGUAGCAUUAGUAAACCACAAUAGUACCCAAUAAGUACCAAUCCUAACCUCGCUUGAGCAGUGGCGAGCCCAAGUCAAGACACCCACCGGACAUAAAAACUUAUGCAUGAUAUGGCACAAAACUAGCAAGGAAGGAAUAUCAUUAUAAGUAAAAAAAAUAGAAUGAUUUCAAAUCACCAUCAACAAUGACAAUAAGGGAAACAAAAACGGAAACAAAAAUAUCCAAGAAAUUAAGCAACAACAUAGUCGGGUAUAGAUGAAAUAUGAAUGUGUUCAAGUAAGGAAAUUCGAUGACAAUUCAGUCAGUGAACUCAUUCCAAAUGUGCGAAUUUCAAAUAAUAACCUUGAGUAUCACAUCUUGUAAUCUAAUAUUAUAAGUCACAACUUCCAAACCUUACACACAAGGCAAUUUGUGCCCAUAUUUUCCAAAUCACGUUUGCACUGCAAAAUCCAUGUGCUACCAUGUAUCUUGUACUCUUAUCAAAUACUACUUUUAAAUAUUCAGGAGAUUUAAUCUACAUGAAAGCAUAAUAACAACCUAGUAUAAAGUAGGAAAGACAAUUAAGAAAAAUGAGUUUAUUUUAUAAAUAAUUUGGGUGAAGAAAUUGACAUUUUUAAUUAAAAUAAUCACUAGAUAAUCACUAGAUUAAAUUUAGAGAUUGUAAAAUAAAAACAUAACACGAUCCAUAAGUAAGAUAAAAUCAACAGAUAGAGUGAGGAGUAUAAUUCGAGAAAUCAAUUAAUGUGAUAUGCAACAACUGAUAAGAAUAGUAAGGUACGUUAUAUUUCAUUUACUUGAAAACAAUAUGUUACCAACAACUUAAGAGAGUAUGAUAUAAUGACUCAACUGUGACGACUCGACCAGUCGCCUCAUGAGUUACCGCUCCAUUUUCCUCAUUUCUGCUUCGUUAUCCGUGUUUUGUGGUAUCGAAUUAGUCAGAUCGAGCCCGGAAUGAUUUUGAUAAAUUUUCAAACACUUAGUCUCUAUUAAGAAGGGUUAAGUUGAAAUAGUCAACCAGAUAUUGACAUAUGUGUUAGAGGGCUCAAAUAUGAGUUCUGAUGGUUUGGUUAACUUUGAGAGGCAAUUCAUGAAUUAGGAGUGUGAUCGUAAUGGGUUUUGUUAGUCUGGAGUAGAAUCAGGCUUCAAUUGGCGGAGUUGAUAUAUUUAAAAUUUUCUGUUGAUAGGCGAGAUUUUGAUAUGAGGGUCGGAAUAGAAUUACAAGAGUUAGAGUAGCUUUGUUGUGUCAUUUGGGAUGUGUGUGCAAAAUUUCAGCCUAUUCGAACGUGGUUUGGUUGGGUUUUUUUUAUCGAAAGCAUAUUUUGGAAGAGUUUAGAAACUUAGGCUUGAAUCCCAUAUGUUUUGGGUGACUUGAUGUUUCUUGAGGUGUUUUGAUGAUUGGAACAAGUUUGAAUAAGGUUUUAGGAUGUGUUGGUGCCUUUGGUUGAGGUCCCGGUGGCCUCGUGUGAGUUUCGGGUGGUCAUUCAGAUCAUUUUUGGAGUUUGAAAGUUGCAGAAAAUAUUUCCAGCUAUUGCAGAGAAUUUUGCCCUUCGCAAUCGUGUAGGGUGUAUCGCGAUCACGUAGAAGGAUUGAGGUAGUCCAGGAAUUAAGCCUUUGCGUUCGGGGAGGGUUGCAAAGUAGGGCAUCGUGUUCGCGAGAAGAACUUCACAUUCACAUGGAGUAAUUUGGGUCUGAUGGGUUCGAGGUCAGGUGUUCAUCACGUUCGCGUAGGUGUGAGCGCGUUUGCGAAGGCUAAGGUAGAGGAAGCAUCGUGUUCGUGAUGUCCAUACCACGCUCGCGUAGAGUAUUUUUGAGAAGCUGAAGAAUUGUUCUUCGCGAUCGCGAGGGACAUUCCGCGAUCGCGAUGAAGUAAAUGAGGUCUGGCAGAAUGUUUUUAAACUCGUCUUGUUCGCGAAUGUGGGUCUAUAUUCACUCAUAGUUGCUCGUUUUUGGAGAUUGUUGAAGGUCAUUGAAGAUGGAUUCAAGGGGAAUCGUUCUGAGGUAAGAUUUUUGGACUAAAAACUCAAUUAUUAUGUGAAUUUCACCUAGAAAAUCAUGAACGCAAAGCCUAAAAUUGAAGAACUAGGGCUUGAGAAAUUGGAAUUUUGAGUUGGGAUUUGAAGGACCAUUUAGGGCAGGAUUUAAGAACUUUUGAUAUGUAUGAACUCGUGGGGAAAUAAGGAAUCUAAUGAUGUAAAAAAUUUUGAGUUUCGAGAAGUGGGCCCGAGGCUCGGGUUUUUGCUAAUUUCGAAAUUUGUGCCCUUUAUUGAUUGUUUUCACUUUGGAUUUAUUCCCUUGGCAUAUUUUGACGUCCUCGCUAUGAUUUUGGAUAGACUCGACGCACGUGGAGGCCGAUUCGAGGGUCAAGGGCAUCGCGAGCUAGAUAUUUAGCUGGUUCGAGGUCAGUAAUGAUUGAAAAUGAUGCUCUGAGGGUUUGAAUCCCCGGACUGCACAUCAUAGUGUUAUGUUGAGGUGAGAAACAAGCUUGAUGAUGAGCGUGGGGUCAUGUACUAUUGGGGAUUGUGACUUGGUCCAUCCCGGUUAAUGAUUUUACCGCGCAUUUGAUCGAAACUUACUUGAUGUCCUCAUUAUUUGGGAUGAAUUCCAUAUUUGGGAUUCGUGCCAACUAUUUGAAUCCUCCGGGUAUUUUUAUUAAUAUUUCCUAACUGUUUUUACUUAUUACUUAAACGCAGUCAUGUUAUUUUCCACUAUUUCACUACUCAGCCAGGUUUACUCAGUUUUGAGACUUAAACGAUAUUUUAAAUGAUAUUGUGGACUGAGAAAUAUUGUUUUACUAUUGCCCGAGGGGUUUGUGAUAAUUUUCAGACUAAGUUAGGCCGUGGGCCUAGUUGCGAGGAUACACUGAUACUGAUUUGAGGCCGAUGGACUGAGAUAUAUAUGUAUAUACGCCACGAGGUGGUUUGAUUGAUAUAGAUUUGAUGCCACGAGAUAGCUUGAUAUUUCUCUUUGUCCGUAAGGGCCCACUCCUAGAGUCUGUACACCCCCGGUGAGCGCGGGUACCCGUUGUGAUGUAAGAUUAAGCCCGGGGGCUGGUAUUGUUCUGAGAUUAAGCUCGAGGUGCUGGUAGUGUUCUGAGAUGUUGCCCGAGGGGCGGAUUUGUUGACACUAUGCCCGAGGGGUGAACUUCUAUUUUUUACUUUAUCUUAACUACCUGCCAAUUACCUAUUUUACUGGUUAAAAGAGGAUUUUACUUGAUUUUUACUCGUUUUAUUGAGUUUAAAUGAUUUACUGCUUCAUUAUAGAAUGCUAUGUGCUUUGUGUAAUUUCUUACUUUUAGUCAUUAUUUACAUUUGUUACCCAAUGAGUUGGAGUACUCACUUUACUCCAUGCACCUUGUGUGCAAAUUCAGGCAUAGCUGGUUCCGCUGCGGAGUGUUGAUUUCCUCGAGUUCUUGGCAGGCCUUUCGGAGAUUAUGAGGUAGUUGUUGACGUCCGCAGCCUCGUGUCUCUAUUCCUCUAUCACUUAUGUUCCUUUUCAAACAUUGUAGUAGUUUAUGACUUUAGCAGACUCGUACUAUGGUUUAUAGAUGCUCGUAACUUGUGACACCCCAGUUAUGUAAGGCCCCUUGAAAAUGAGUGCUCAGGUGUUAGCAGCUCAUAGAGUCGAGUCUACCUAUGCUAAUCGAGUUAUAUUACUGUUUUGAACUUAAAAAUGUGAAAUCCAAGUUUUUCCAAGAAAUGGUCAAAAUGCGGUCGCAGAUUAGCUAUGCGGACCGCACUCCUACCGCAGAGUGAAUCAGAGAGCAACUAAUUUUUGAUGUUGAAAAUGCGGUCAAAUCUGCGAUUGCAUAAUCAAUAUGACCGCAGAGUGAUCACAUAUUGUCCUUGAGGAAAUUCGAAGCUCAGUUCUGCGGUGCAUUCUACGACCACAGAACUCAAAUGCGGACCGCAUAUUCACCGUAUUCCCAACCCGAGAGGUUUGAAGUUUGAGCCAUUUCUGCGGUCCUUUUUGCGGACCGUAUGUCUGUUCUGUGAUCGUAGAGUAACGUUGCAGAUUAAGCUCGCCCAGUUAUUUUUCUAAAAAUCUAAGCCUGACCCCUCUUUAAUAAAAACACCCCAUCCCUCAUUUUAACCCAUUUUCUGAACAAAAUAAGAGAGAGGAAGAGAGGGUCCUAGAGGGAGAAAGCAAGUUCUUCAUAAAUUGAUCUUUCAAAAUCAUUGGAGUGUGGAAAAACCUUGGUGCAUUGUCUUCUCUAUUGAUUUCUCAGUUAAAAUCCCUAACCCAUUUCCCCCAAAUUUCGAAAUUAAGCUUGGGAAGGGAGCCACAUACACUUGCUUUGAAUUUUAUUCAUAAAAUCUUCAUGCAUGUCUUCAAAACUCAAAAAUCUUGUAAAAAGGGAAUUGGGUAGUAACUAGGAGUUUGAAUUUCUAAAGCCUAAGUGUUGUUCAUGAACUAGAUUGCUUGGAAAAUUUGGGGCUAAAGUUUUAAAGGGGAAAACUCAACUCCAGGUAUGUAUGGCUAAGAUCCUUGUUAAAUCGGCCUAUACUAGUUCUGAAAUUGUUGAUAGUAGAUAUUCAUGUGAGAAUCAUUCUGAAUCUUUUGUGUUGUAUGAUUGCGUGGUAAUAAUUUGUGAUGAAUGUUGUGCAACUUGUAAUUGUAACAACGAAAAUGGAAAUAAUGUGGAAUAGUGGAAACGGAAACAAUGUGGAAUAAUGGAAAUGAGAAUAAUGUAGAAUGGUGGAAAAGAAAAUAUUGUGGAACAACGUGUGUGAUUAGUUAUGAAUAACUGUUGUGAUGACCUAUAUUGUGUAUCAAUCUGAUGAACAUGAGGAAAUUGUUGUUGCUAGUUGUGGGAUUUCAAUAUCCUUGUUGUGGAUAUAUUUUAACAAUGUACCCUGGUUAAUUUCUUGUAUUUGUUGUUGUAUUGUUUGUUGUUGUGAAUUGAAAACUAUCAGGCGGGGUCGGGUUGCAUGCCGCAACACGGUGAAAUAAGGUGUGGGUUGGGGUGAUAAGGGUGGUCGAGGUAAUAAGGGUAGACGAGGUAAUAAGGGUGGAAAAUGUGAUCAAAUAUCACUAUUGAUAUGAAUAUGAAUUAUGAAAUGAUAAAUGUGGAAAUGUAAAAGGAGACAACAGGAGAGUUUGUAACCUGUGGGGCACUGAUUGCCCCUUUGUUUGACUACUUAAAUCAAUUGUUGUGAAAUGUUUGGUUGUUGCUUUGUGGUUGUAAUUGUACCGUUGUUGUUUAGUUCUAUAAUUGUAUACAUAAUAUUGGCUUGAGUUUACUUGGGAUAGAGUUUGUUCAUACAUGCCAUUACAAUUCAAAUGUACUGACGUCCCUUUUGCCGGAGGCGCUACAUUCGUGUUAUGAUUGUAGGUGGAUCCGUGGUAGGCACUCCAGUCCACCGUUCGUAGCUCCUCCUCCUCUCUAUCAGUGGUACUCGUGUUUGCUGAGCCCUUUUCCUUCCGGGGACUUGUGAGCCUUUUUCAUUCCGGGGACUUGUGUGGCUCACGCCACCUAUGAUUGUUGUAUAUUGGAGUCUUGUGUCCUUUUGUAAAGGUAUAGCCGGUGCCUGUCGUCGGCAAGUGUUGUAUUAUAUUUCUCUUAGAGGCUCCAUACACAGUGGUAUGUGGGUUAGAACUUGUGUAGCAAGGUGUAUGGUUUGGGCGCUGUAAACUUCUUUAUCACGUUCCCUGUUAAUCAUAAUAUAUGUUUUGUAAAAGAUGUUCCCUGUAAAUCAUAAUGUGUGGUCAUAAAAGAGAAAUCAUAUGUUCUUUCGAUGGAAAAUUUAAUAUCGUUUGGCUAAUUGUCAUUGAAUAAUAUGGGGUAACGCGUGGGGAAUAGGAAAGGAACCCUGGUCCACUCAACUGGGGAUACCCGGUUGAGUGUCUGUCAUGCCCACGGAUUUGCGGCAUGACAAGUUAGGGCUAUGUCGGGUUGGAUUUUCCGCAUUGUUAUCUAUAUUUCUACUACUCAGUUUUAUUAAACCAUGUUUAGACUAUUUUUGUGUUGAUUAACUAUUUAAAAGAUGAUUUGGGUUAAACUGAUUGGCCUUGUCUUCACGAGAGGGGCCAUCACGACUGGGUUCGCGGUUGGGUCGUGACAAGUUGGUAUCAAAACCUAGGUUACAUAGGUAUCACGAGUCAUGAGCAGGUUUAGUAGAGUCUCGUGGAUUGGUACAGAGACGUUUGUAUUAAUCCUCGAGAGGCUGUAGAACCUUUAGGAAAAACUUCAUAUUUUUGAAAUUCUUGUCCUGCGAAAUUGUUGGUCCGAGUACUAAACUUCUGUUAUUCUAUUCUGUCACAGAUGGUGAUGACACGAGCUACUGAACGGGGAGGACAACCACCAGUACCACCAGCUGAGGCCACCAUAGGCCGAGGUUGCGGUCGAGGUCGUGGCAGGGGCAGAGCAGGUAGAGCACCACCAAUACCCCCACUAGCUGCCCCAGUUCCGGAUCAGGUCCCAGUUGUGGAUACUACCGCAGCACCAGCUGUGCCUAUUGUGAUCCCAGGUCUCUAGGAGGCAUUAGCUUAGAUCUUACCUGAGUGUAUAAGUUUGGUACGGCCGCAGCUACAUCCCAGGCGGGGGGAGGCGACCAGACUCCUGUUUCUUACACACCUGAGAAGAU
rnacentral:lncRNA from 1 species